rnacentral:lncRNA from 1 species
CAUCCACAGGUUUAGGACACACAAAAAAUUUUCAGAAUUACAAGCUUCUUCUUCUUCUUAAAAAUACUCUAAGUGUGAUCAUUGAAACCGUGAGUGUGUUCGAAGAAUCUGCCUAUUUAAGGUACCGCUAUAGUCGGAUUGAAGGCCAUUUAUCCUGGGAGGAAGAUUCCACAACCUCGGGUACAGUGAGGGGAAUUAUUCCUUAAGAAAAGUCCGUGAAUUCGGACGACUUGGCCUUAACAAUUUCUGUUUCAUCUAUAUUUCUGAAAUAUAAAAUACACCUCUUGUAAAGAUCAUUUUGAUCUUGUGUUGAGGGUAUUUGUUCAACAUCGUUGUGUUCUUGUUCAUACUUGACCUCGAGUUGAAGUUGUUAUUCUAUUAUACAGAUUCUACGUACCCUUAUUGUGGAAGAUAACAAUCUUAAGAAAUAAUUUUACAAAAUCUGUAUAACUUAUUUUUGGAGAUUAAAGCUUAGGUUUUCUACUCCGCUUGAAUUUAACUAGUGAUUAGAAAACAUAAAAUCUUCAUCACAAUUUGAGGUUCACUCGUUUGACGAUUCGAAGUAAUAAAAACUUUAUCGUUAACUAGAAACAAGAAGAAGAGUUUCAAGUAAUUUAACUUUAUAAAUAGUAUUCUGAAAAAUACUAAGUUUUCUGUCUUGUGGUGAUAGGAAAAAUGACAACUGAAAUUCAAAUGAUGGAUGCGACAACGUCUAUGGGGGCAAAUAAUAUUGCCACAUCAAGUCGCACAAAUGCUCCGCCAACGAUGGCAUCAACGGAGAAGCCCGAAAAAUUUUCUGGCGUCGACUUCAAGCGGUGGCAACAAAAGAAGUUCUUUUACCUCACCACUUUAUGUUUACAACGGUUCACUAGCGAAGACGCUCUCAAGGUGCCCGAGGGAACCUCGAACAAGGACUGCUUCGUUAUUGUAGAAGCUUGGAAACAUUCGGACUUUCUUUGCAAGAACUAUAUUCUGAGUAGUCUCCAAGACGAUCUCUAUAAUGUCUAUAGUGGAACAAGACAUCAAAGGAACUGUGAGGGGCACUUGAACGGAAAAAUAAAAUGGAAGAUGCGGGAAUUAAGAAAUUUCUUGUUGCACGGUUCCUAGACUUCAAAAUGAUUGACAACAUAUCUGCUGUCUCUCAAGUACAAGAGUUGCAAGUCAUCAUACAUGAUCUUCUAGCAGAAGGUUUAAUUGUGAAUGAUGCUUUCCAAGUAGCAGCGAUAGUUGAGAAGCUACCACCUUUGUGGAAAGACUUCAAAAACUACUUAAAGCAUAAACGCAAGAAGAUGACUGUUGAAGAUCUUAUUGUCCGACUCCGUAUCGAAGAGAACAAUAAAGCUGCCGAAAGAAGGUCAAAGAGAAAUUCUAUAAUGAAUGGAGCCCAUAUUGUAGAAGAUGGCCAAAACAACUCGAAGAAAAGAAAGAAAGAUGAACAUGGAAGCAAUCAAUCCAAGAAAAAGUUCAAGAAAAAAUGCUUCAAUUGUGGCAAAAUUGGCCACAAGUCCACAGAUUGUCGAGGCCCGAAGAAAGGCAAGAAAAAGGACCAAGCGAAUAUGAUUGAUUCCAACAAAGAAUAUGAUUCUGGUGGGGAAUUCACGCGAAUGGUGGAUGGAUUCUGGUGCUACACGCCAUAUUUGUGCAAACAAAGAGUUGUUCUCGUCAUUUGCUCCGGCUCAAGUAGAAGAAAUGCUCUACAUGGCCAACUCCGCUAUUGCUAAGGUGGAGGGAACAGGAAAAAUUUGCUUAAAGAUGACUUUCGGCAAGGUCUUGACAUUAAACAAUGUGCUAUAUGUUCCGGAGUUACGUAGGAACUUAAUUUCUGUUUCCCUCCUAGAUAAGAACGGAUUCAAAUGUGUAACCGUUUCUAGAAAAAUUAUAGUUAGUAAAGGAGAAAUGUAUGUAGGAAAAGGCUAUCUCAUGGAGGNNNNNNNNNNNNNNNNNNNNNNNNNNNNNNNNNNNNNNNNNNNNNNNNNNNNNNNNNNNNNNNNNNNNNNNNNNNNNNNNNNNNNNNNNNNNNNNNNNNNNNNNNNNNNNNNNNNNNNNNNNNNNNNNNNNNNNNNNNNNNNNNNNNNNNNNNNNNNNNNNNNNNNNNNNNNNNNNNNNNNNNNNNNNNNNNNNNNNNNNNNNNNNNNNACACUGACAUUUGUGAUAUGAAGUCAACACCAUCUCGUGGUGGGAAAAAGUAUUUCAUAACUUUUAUUGACGAUUGCACUAGAUAUUGUUAUGUCUACUUGCUAAAUAGUAAGGAUGAAGCAAUAGAUGCGUUUAGGCAAUAUAAAACUGAAGUUGAAAAUCAGUUAGACAAAAAGAUCAAAAUGAUAAGAAGUGAUAGGGGCGGAGAAUAUGAAUCUCCCUUCGCGCAAAUAUGUGUAGAGAAUGGAAUAAUCUAUCAAACUACGACCCCGUAUUCACCUCAAUCUAAUGGAAUUGUGGAAAGGAAAAAUCGAACUUUGAAGGAAAUGAUGAAUGCUUUACUUAUAAGUUCUGUUUUACCGCAAAACUUAUGGGGGAGGCUAUCCUUACGGCCAAUCGUAUACUCAACAGAGUUUCCCAUAGUAAGACACAAUCAAUUCCUUACGAAAAAUGGAAAGGAAGGAAACCUAACUUAAAAUAUUUCAAAGUGUGGGGGUGUCUAGCGAAGGUUCAAAUAAAAAUAAACCAAACACAAAAAAAUAAAAUAAAAUAAAAUGACAAGAAAAUUACACCGUCCGUCCCAUUUUACUUGUCCCAAAUUGGGAUGGCACAGCUACUAAGAAAAAUAAUAAAUAACAUGGCUAGUUUACCAUAGUACCCAUAUUAAAUGAUGUUUAUAUUUUAAUUUAAAGAAAAAGUAAUUAAUGCAAAGGGUAAAAUAUGAAGAAAAAAAAUUGUCUUUAUCUUGAUAAGUAAAAAAGGACAAAUAAAAUGGAACAUCAGAUUAGAAAAUUUGAGAUGAUUAAAAUGGGACGGAGGAGUAUGUGAUAACUACUUCUAUUUUUUCUUUGAGUAAACUUUAACACACAUUAUCUCUUAUCCAACAAAAUGAUUACAUUAUAGAUAAGAUAUUCCUUCCUUUUUUUUAACUUAAAAGAUGUGUUAUAUAUUCCGUUAAGAGUAAAACUUAGAUAUACAUAAAAUGGAAAAUUAAUUACACAAAUCUCAAAUUUGAAAUCUGGUCGAAUAAAAUUGGGGAUUUUCAGCUUGUAACAGUUUUGGUGUGAUUUGCGUUGCAAACUUAAACAAAAUCCGUUACGUUCUAAAAUAAAGAUCUAAUCUGUUUCAAAUGUAUCACCGUAUAACAUAUAUAUUACUAUUUUUAAAAAUCAGGAUAAGAUGUAAUUAACAAAAUAGUCGGGAUAACAUGUGAUAUCAUUUAAAAAUUCAGGGAUUUAUGUAAGUUAUUCUAAAUAAAAUUUUAAUUUUGAGCCCAUCAAUAUUUACUGUAUAUUUUUAAAGUAUUUAAUUUCCUCUCCAUUUGAAAUACUAAGCUAUAUUUCAAGAAUUAACACUCAAAUUUGAAACAAGACUAUGUAAUCAAUGACUCUGAUUGCCUAUAGGAAAGAAAAAUUUAAUACAUUUACGAAAAUUCAUGAAUGAAAAAAGAAAUUAUAUUGAUCAAAAUAUUAAUCAAUCAAUUAUUUAAAAUUAAAAUUGAGUCAGAUCGAUUAACAACUAUGAUAUAAAAGCUCGUAAUUUUCUCAACUCCUUAAACUAGUAUAAAAAUAUGCUAGUAUAUCUUUUUAUAAACUCUACAUUUGUAUGUAUGGAGAUAAUCAAUUAUAUUGCUAAACUUUGAUUUGAAAAAAAUAAUUUAGAAUUUUUUUUUUGUGAUGAAUUUCAACCUUUCCUUUUCAAUAAAUUGUCAUGAUAUGAUUUUGUAUUUAAUGGCAUAGUAUUAACUAUUGAGGAUAAGGUAGGUAUGACAAUUGACUAGUUGAAAAUUUUAAUUUAAAUGAAUGAAGGGGAGCCUCGUGAGUAAAGUUGAUGUCACGUGAGAAGAAGAUUACAUAUCCAAGUCACAGAAGUAGCGUUAGAUCCUUAUGAUCCGAUCCGUCUCCGAAUCCCGUUUAUACCUAGAGUUAUAAUACACCAGACUAUUUUUUUUUUAUUAUGAGAAAAUGAAUUGAAUAUCCAUAAACAUAGUAUAUAAUUAUAAAGAUCAUACUAUUUGUUUUCAGAUUUUAUUUAUGCACAAAUAAUAAUUAAGAAGUGGAUAAUGUUUCAACAUGUUAGAUAUUUGGUGGAGCUGUUUUAAGAAUGAAGUGGACAUUUUUUGUAUUUAAAAUGUAUUUGUUGUUUAUAUGUUGUUAUAUACUAUUUCUAGUUUAAUUUUUUCUAUAAUAAAAUAAAUAAAAUAGGACAAACAUGAUUGGUUUCAACUUCCAACUAAUUUACAAUUUUUUUUUUUUUUUUUGGUUGAACUAAUUUACAAAUUUUCCCGUUGCAGUAUUAGCAGAUAGAUAAAAUUAUAGAAAAUAUUUCAAAACGUAUUUGUUUAAAUAAGAAUCUAUUAUUUUAAUUUCUAACUUGAAAUAUUUGAAAUCACUAUGGAAUGAAAAAUCUCCAUAUAAAAUGAUAAAAGUACUUGAAGAUUAUUUAAAAUAAAUUUUAUUGAAUAAUACAUUGUUUUAAUUUUAAACUUAAAAUAUGAAAUUUGAAGUUUCAAAUAGAUAAAAUUAUAGAGAAUAUUUCAAAACGCAUUUGUUUAAAUAAUAAUCUAUUAUUUUAAUUUCUAACUUGAAAUAUUUGAAAUCACUAUGGAAUGAAAUCUCGAUAUAAAAUGAUAAAGUAUUUGAAGAUUAUUUAAAAUGAAAUUUAUUGAAUAAUACAUUGUUUUAAUUUUAAACUUAGAAGUUAAAAUAUGAAAUUUGAGGUUUAAAAAACAUACUUUUAAGUGAAUACUAAUAAAAUCUCAACUUUAUUUUCUUGUCUUGACACAUUUCACCUUACAAAUAUUUUUUCAAGACUUAAUUUUUUUUUGAAAAAAAAUUAUCAAUAAAUUCAUAUCUAAAUACCUACUUAGUAUUUUUUUUUUUUUUUGAAUUCCCUCUUGUGGUUGUUUUACUAGUCUAGAUGCGAAUAUGAAAUUUUUUAUUAGUGUCAUGUAUUUAUGUCAAUAUGUAUUUGACAUACAUAAUUAUUAUUCAACUAUACUUAAUUAAUGCAUAAUUUUCAACUGAUCUUAUCUCUUGACAAUAAUAAUUAUUUUAGUUUGGCAUCAACACGUUAUACGAAUAAAUAUUUAAAGUGUAUUUUUUUUUUAUUUUUCACUCAGUGUCCAAUAUUUAUACUGUACCUCGAUUAAAUUUAGAAUCGUGCAUUGUUGAGCCCAUAUUUGAGCACAACACUAUCAACAUGAUUUAUUUUUUUUGACCAUAGGCUCAAACUUGAAAUAUCUGACUAAGGGUGAAGAAAUCUUAGACAUCCCGCCAAUCCGAUACACUAACUCAAUAUGUACGAAGUUCUAAAAAAUUCAAACCACAAUAAUUUAUUAUACGCAAUCUAAACUUUCUUCAAGCAUAGCCUCCUAAUCACAUGACACUAACUAUAUCAACUACAUGAAAACUAUUUGUCCUGCGAAUAUCGGAUUAUUAAAGGGAUCAUCAACUACUCUCCAUUCUUAAAUAAUUAUCGUCUUUAUUAAAAUAGAUAUUUUAUAAUUAUUUGUCAUUUUAGAAAAUUGAGACAUAAUUAGUUAUUUUUUUAAUCUUUAACCUUAAUCUCAUUAUUAUACUGCAAAAAGAAUAAAAAUGAGUAUUUCAUCCGUCUAUCUUUAUUCGUCCACUUUUCUAUUUUGAAAUGUCUAAUAAUAUUUGUCCAGUUCAUAAAAUCAAUAGAUUAUUUACCUAUUUAUCCAUGGUAUUAAAUACAAUACAUCAUUCAUAGCAUUUUUUAAAGCAAAAAGUUUAUUACUCCUUCGUCCUAUUUUACUCGUCCCAAAUUUCCUAAUUUGCUUUCUCAUUUUACUUGUCUUUUUUCAUUAAUCAAGACAAAACAAUUUUUUUUUUCCUCUUUUACCUUUAGUAUUAAUUAUUUUUUCUCCAAAUUAAAAUAUAAACAUUAUUUAAUAGGGAUACUAUGGUAAAGUAAUCAUGUUAUUAAUUAUUUUUUUAAUUAAUGUGCCAAGUCAAUUUAAGACGAAUAAAAUGAGGCAAAAAAAGUAUAUUCAAAGAAUGAUACAAAAUUAUUUCUUUACAUGUGUCAAGUUAAAAAGUAUAUUUAUGGACGAAGAGAGUAAUAAAUAGUCAUUUGGUUAAUGUUUUUUUUAAAAGGAACAUACAAUCUAAAAUAUAAUUUAAAAAUGUGACAAAGUGAAUACGAAUCAACUACUUCCUCCAUUUUAAAUUAUCCGUCUCAAAUUUUUAAUUUGAUCUCUCAUUUUACUUAUUUUUUUUAUAUUAAUCAAGACAAGAUAAUUUUUUUCCCAUUAUCCCUUAGUAAUUGAUUACUCCUUAUUACUAGAAUUGAAUUAUUAAAUUUUGAAGAUUUUGAUAAUCUUAUAAUAUUAAUUAUUCAUGAAAAAAGUAUUUUGAUAUCAGUCAUAUAAUAACUCUAUCAAUAUUGGAACUAACAACAUGACACAAUCAAUAGGGUCAAAAUGAUAUAGUUAUAUUAUCAAUCAUUAUUUUCUUAAUAGUUGUGUCAUCUCAAUUUGAGACGGAUAAUUUGAAAUGGAGGGAGUAUUAAACAUGAAUUUUAUAUCUAAAAAUUACACAAAUACGUAACUUAUAUUUUUAAUAUUACAAAAAAUUCUAACUCCCUAAACAUAUUAUAAAAAAUUCAACAUAUACACAGAAUGUUAUGUAUAUGUCGGCUAUGUUAUGUAUAUUAACAGAGAGAAUAAAGUAAUUAAAAAAGUGUUUUAAAGGAAUUGGUAUUUAUGUUAUUUAUAUAUUUUAUAUAGUGUGGAACAGUGGUGGAGUUAGGAUUUUCAUUAAGGGGAUUUACAAGUGAACAACAAACUAACAGUAGGGGGUUUUUGGUUAAUUCAACAUUAACUAUAUAUAUAUAUAAAAAAUAAUUUUAAUCAUGUAAAUAUAGUAUAAUUUUUCGCUGAAAGGGGUAGGGUAGCUCCGCCCCCUGGUGUGGGACACCCACUAAAGAGGAUUGGUCCAAUUCCCAAAGUCCAAGAUUACUUGUUUACUCUGACACUCUAAGCAAACAAAACUGUAUACGCCUGAUCAAAGCAAAACUCUUGCUUUACUUUUUCUCCUUCAUUCUCCGAGCAAAUAAUGAUCUUUCUCCAUAUAUAUACAGUUAUGAUAUACACAUACACACAAAUAUAUACAAAAUAUACAAGUCAUUAACCAUAACAACACUUGCUGCAAGUGAACAGACAGACUGAGCUCAUUCUAUAACAAACUCAAUUUGUUCUCUGUGUGAUUGUGUGUUACGUCAGCAAUUUGUGAAUACCCACAAGGAUAUUUUCUGUUGUGGAUCAUUUUUCAGGUAAUAAAAAAGUGACUUGAUUGAUGUAAGUGAUGUGUUUUUUUAAAUUUUUGAGUUCUUGAUUACUGUGUUGUGUUUGGUUUGUUGAAUUUUAUGAUAUUUUUACUGUGGGUGUUUUGUGAUUGGGGUGGAAUUUCACUUGUAAUUCAGCUAUAAACACCGAGUGUACUAAAGCUCCCGCUACGAGUGGGGUCCAGUGGCGGACCCGGGGAUUUAGGGGACGUGGGCGUGGGUGCUCGUGAGGUUCAAACACACAUAUUGAUGCCUAAAACUUUAAGGUUCUGCAUGAAAAUCAAAGCACACAACUAUCUUUUUGGUUUUCUGGGUGUUCUUUUGAAGCUUAUACCAAUUUUCAUACCUUUUUAAAUAUAAUUAUACCUAGUCGCGUCGGAUAUAACGAGUGCUGUAGCACCAAAAAAAUGAAUAUAGGUCCGCCCCUUGUGGGGUCCGGUGAAGGGCAAGAUGAUAAGGGUCUAUUGUACGCAGUCUUAUCAUGCAUUUUAUGUAAGAGAGUAUUUCCACAACUUGAAUCCAAAACCUCCUGGUCGCAUGACAACAACUGUACCGGUUAAGCAAAAUUGUCUUCCCUUAUUGGUGUUGUAUGGUAAAUAACAACGAUGACAACAUACUUAGUAUAGUCUCACAAGUGGGGUCGGAGGAGAUUAAGAUGUACGCAGAGCUUACCCUACUACCUAUGCAGUAUAGACAGUAAAUGGGCUGUUUCUUGAUAGAUUCUCAGCUCAAAAGAGUGAAAAUGGUAAAUAAUAAUGAAUAGCUGACAAGUUAUAUAUGGAUUAUAAUAUAGAAAUUUCUUUUCUGAUAACUGUGGUGUCCGGGCUAGCUUUUAGGCACCUCGACUAAUUCCACGAGCUACCUGCAAUUAUAAUAUAGAGAUUUUGUAAUGCAGUUAAUAAUUUUUGUUAUUAGUUAUGGGAUUAAAAUCUGGAUAUGCAUUGUUUAAUCUAAAUAUGUGUGUGGUUUCAGAUUGUAUCAAAAUUGAUUCGUAUAGUAUCCAAUUGUCCUGCUGUAAAAUGUAUACACUCACUUAGUCCAAUUUUAUUUUAUGUAAUAUUAUGGGAUUAAAACUAAUUAUACACAAGUUUAAUAUCUUAAAACAAAGAGCAAUUUAGAAUAUAGUUUAAAGCUAGUUAUCUUAAAUGAGGUGAAUGAAUAGAUAAAACUUUUACAUUCCUCUUUUGUAUACAAAGGUUCUGUUUUAAAGACCUUAUUUAGUAUUACAAACUUUAUUAGAAACAAAGGAGAGAUUACAAGUAAUAGUACAAAGGUGAUUCUGUUGUUUAUGUGUAGUGAUAAUCCAUAUUGAACUCGGGAUAAAAUGGAACAGGAAUUACAACAUAAGAAAUGCAAAUGUCUAAUGUGGAAAGAAAAAAUGGCUGUUAAGCUCCUGAAUAUUAAUGCACAAUUCUCGACCCUGUCUAUCAUAGCAUGCAGUUCCAUCUGUGUCACAACUGGCUCGAUAGACUAUGUGCCCCGGUGCACAGAGACCUUCGGUCCCCCAAAUUACCAACUCAUGGCAACCUUGCGGCUGCCCAACAACUUAUCAAUGCUAGUGAUGGCCAAGUGCCAUGAUUAUAAGCAAAUGACUUAUAUGUGGCCUCGAGAAGAAAAAACUCUUAUGCUAUUGUUAUUGUUGUUGUUGUUGCUUCAUCUUUCUUUUUUUCUUUCUAGAUUCCAAACACGGUUAAUUUUACUGCUUUUUGGGGAAGGGGAAAUUGUAAUAGUCCUUAGUGGAUGGUUGUUGCAUUCUCAUGGCCAAUCCCAAGUUGCAUUGUUUACUUGUUGGCUCUCUGGUUGUUUGCCAGUGGUUUUGUGUAUGCAAAAGUACAAAUAAAUGGGUCAUGCUAUGUUAUGCUUUUUGUGCUUUCACUUUACGUAUAUGGCCUAUUUCCUUGAUACAAAGUAUUUGAGAGGUCUUCACGUAGUAGUUAAAAAUGAGUUGGUAAAAAUGUCUCUGAUAUUAUCAUAUCACUGGAUCUACUGUUUGUCAAACUUUGCGUUGGUUAUUAAUCUCAACUAAUUUUGCUUGAAACUAGAAUACAGUAAGUAGUGUGCACUCACUUUGCUAUCCAGUUAUAAUUGAAGUUGAAGGUGGGAACUGGGGAGUUAAGAAAAAUAUAGAAUAUAAAAAGGAGCAAAAGUGUUAAACUAGUAAUCAGACCAGAUAGUGUCCCAUUUUAAGUUCAACAAUUUUGUAUAUCGUAAUUUGCUUGGCCUUUGAGCGAUUGUGUCUGGCAUCUCCUUGUGAAUUCAGCUUAACGAGUUUCAUCUCCUUCAGGUUUUACCUCCUACUAAUUUAAUCUGUCAAAUCUUGUCCAUUGAUUGGCUGCUUUUGGAACUUAUUUAUGUGCCAAUAGACGUAAUAUCUGCACUACAAACUUAAAAAGUCGUAUUCUAUCACUCGUGCUAGUAUAAGCAGAAAAAUCUGUCAAAUUGCUCUUAUUGUUAUUAGUUGAGACAAUUGUCUUUUCGGUUCUGUCUCAUGCUGACAUUAGGUUGUUGUAAAAGGUAGCAACUUUACAGCUUUAUACUUCCGUUAAUGAUCAAAAUCUAACUGAAUUCGCACCUCUUUCAGAGCUUAAAUAGGCUACAGGCCUACAGCAACAUCAACAGACAACAUCAAGUAGUCUGAGAAGGAAGAUGGAGUCGAGGCAUUCCCUCCAUCAUGUAGUGCUUUUAGUUUUGUGUGGUCUGUCUUCCCUAUGCCAAUGUUCUGCUACUGAGGUUGAAGCAAACCAGACAGCAGUACUGUUUGUGAAUGCAUCCGAAGCAUCAGCAAGGAAAAUACCUGAUACUCUUUUCGGUAUAUUCUUUGAGGUGAGUUUAGUCAUUUGGCUGCUCAACUCGUUGUGCAAAUGAGAAACUUUUAGCUUCUAAUGACAGUGCAAUUUAUUUCAUGUAUUAGGUGUUUAAUUUGUUUGUCUUUUUCUUUCUUUGAGCAAACUCUUUAUAUGAUAAUUAGAAUCAUGGAUUUCUUCUUCUCGAAAAUACAUUUAGGAUUCCUUUUUAUUAUUUCAUUCCAUCAAGCUGAAACCUGCAUUCUCAUAGGUUUCCUAUUCGAACCAUAUAAGUAAAAUUAUAGUAAAACGUAAAAGGACUGACUAUAAGUUAUGUCUGUCCAUAAUGUGAAAUUUGACAGUGGACAUGUGAGAAGCUCUGUUGAUGCCUAAUCUUAUGAAUCAUCAGCAGCAACAGCAACAUCAUAGCCAAUGUAUUCCCACAAAGUGGGGCUUAUGAAUCAUCAACAUAUUCCAAAUACCUUGCCGGAAGAGGAUGAUCGUACCUUUUUUUAUGGACAUCACUGGAUGUUUUACCGAAUUCACUGGACUUAAUUUUCCGUGAUAUAGGAUACAGUCAAUUAGUUUAAGUUCAUACACCUGGAACAUUUGUAUUUCAGGAGAUCAAUCAUGCUGGUGCUGGUGGAUUGUGGGCUGAGCUUGUCAGCAACAGAGGUCAGUUUGCUUUUAUGGUUGCCUUAGAAAAGGAAAAGUCUCUAAAAAGAAAUGAAAACGUGCUUUGCUUCAUAGUGAUUGACUACUAAUUUGCCACGUUCUGGCCUAAAAAGAAAAAGGAAAAGAAAGGACAAACAAGAUGAUGAGGCAAUUAAUUUGAAAUUGCUAUUUCUUCUCGCAUAAGAGCUUUGCCUCCUAUAUAUUUUUUACUUCUCUUUUAUUCAAGUGUUAGUUUUUCUUGAAACCUUAGGUUUUGAAGCUGGAGGCCCAAAUGUACCUUCAAAUAUUGAUCCUUGGUCUAUCAUCGGAGAUGAGUCCUCAGUAAUUGUAUCAACAGACCGAUCGUCAUGCUUUGAUCGGAAUAAAAUUGCAGUUCGAGUGCAGGUGCUAUGUGGCCAUACAGGUGCCAAUAUCUGUCCAGAUGGAGGAGUGGGCAUCUACAACCCGGGAUACUGGGGCAUGGUAUGUUGCUCUUUUGAUGCUUGACUGGAACAUUAUUCGCGUGUUUCUUGUUUCCCCUUUCUAGGAUUCACCGUUCAAUAUUUUGCAAUACUAAAACCACAUUGGAUUUCCUUCAUUUGUAUCGUCAAGUCUUGUUUAGAUUUCAAUCAGAAAUAUAUUGUAUACUAGAAACUGAUCUACUCUUCCUUCUCUGUGUGUUUUGUUGGUGCAUGUUCUAUAUUUAUUAUCCUAAUUUUAUGUUUCUUGCAGAAUAUUGAGCAGGGAAAGAGUUACAAACUAGUGCUUUAUGUUCGUUCACAAGAAUCAAUUGAUGUAUCUGUAGCUUUAACUGGUUCAAAUGGAUUGCAAAAGCUGGCUGCUGCCAACAUAGUGUAAGUAGAUGUCCAGUCGGCUUUGUUUUCCAUAUUUUUACAAAGUUUGCUUCUUGCACGCGAUUCAUUCAACAUGUUCUUGCAGAGCUGCUGAUGUUUCAAGCUGGACAAAGAAGGAAAUUAUGUUAGAAGCAACAGGAACAGAUCCCAAUGCAAGACUGGAACUGAGAUCAUCUAAGAAAGGUGUUAUAUGGUUCGAUCAAGUGUCAUUAAUGCCUACUGACACAUACAAGGUGAGCGGUUUAGAGCUUUCUUGUAGCUAUUCAGAAAAGACUCAUUUUUUGACCAAGGAGAGAGUGGUUGUAUGGCGGCUGGCUGACUUAAUACAUGUUUUAUGAACCAAAGCUUCUAAAUGGUUCACUAAUUCUCUUCUUGUUUAUUAUAUACAAAAUGUGUAGCCAGUUUCAGUUCUAUAUCUUUAGAAAUGGACCCAAAAUAUAACUACAUCUGUGCAGUAUUCUUAAAGGCAUCUGUUGUGAUAACGUUAGGUUUUGUAUCAAACAAUAAACUAUACCAUAAUCCCAAAUAAACUGCUGUAUGAAUCCUCUGUAGCAGUACUUCGAGGAUGUUAUUAGGGUUUACAUUUGGAAAAAAUUAGAACUUGUUGACCAUAUAGGCAUUAUUAACUAAUAGUAUAUAAAAUUUGUCAAUGUAGGUGAAUACAAAUUAUUGCAACUCUUUCUUUUUUCAAAUUAUUUGUCUGUAGAUAUCCAGCAACUGUGUAUUACUCUAAUGAUCCUUCUUUGUCAAGGAGCCUGAUAUUAUUUCUGAUUUUUCUUUUUUCUUUUUCAUUUUGUAGGGUAAUUAGAUGUAUUCGUUUAAUGAAUGUUACUAUUUGUGGCAAUUUUCUUGGCACAGGGGCAUGGUUUCAGGAAAGAUCUUUUUGGAAUGCUUAAGGAUUUGAAACCAGCAUUCCUUCGAUUUCCAGGUAUUCUCCACUAUAUUUCAACUUUUUCCUUGAGGAUCAUGUAACGUUACCAACUGAUGGACUGAGACAGCUUUUAGUAUUUUCUACCUGCUAUAUUUAUAAGCUUUUUCACGCGAUCCCUUCUUCAUGAGGAAGAAGAGUAUCAGUAGAGAGUAAAAUUUCAUGAGUAAAUUGGAAAAAGACAAGUAUAAUAAAAAGAAUGGUAUGCACAAAGAAGCGUAAGAAAGCCAGAGGCGGCCAACUACUACUUAAAGAUAGAGAGAAGCCGAUUUACACAACUGUGUUAUUUGUUACUAGAAAUUAUGCUCACAGGAGUUCAUCUCCCGUAUUAUCUAUCUCAUUGGUGAUAGUUCUUAGAUAAGACUUGAAAUGCUUUAUGUUAAACACCAAGAUUUAAGAACUUCACCAUUGGGAUAAUACGGGAGACGAGGUUAUCAAAGGAUAUAAUAUGGGAAAUGAACAUCUAGAUGUCGGAUUAAUACCAGAAAACUUUUCAAAGUUUUUUUCUUUUUUUAAUUUUUAAUUCCUUCACCGAGUAAUGUAGUAUCUUUUCAUCAAAGUUCUACUUGUAAUUUCUCAGCAUAUUAACAUGUUUCAUUACCAGGGGAAGGGGCUAAGAUGAAGGAACUUAACUUGAAAUUCAAACUUUCUGAGUUGUAUUUCUUUUCAUGUUUGCUUUAAUUCUUUCAAGAAGUCAAAUCUCCUCUUUCUAAUCUGUUUACUUUAUAUUUGAGCACUUUAGAAUUUCAGACAACUAGUUUAUACAGUGUUGGCUAGGAAGAGAGUACAAAUAUCAGAUAAAUGUAGUAAACAGUCUGCAUCAAUUCAAGGACUGAUUCUUUCAAGAUUGUGCUUUGUGUCUUCUUUUACCAGUUCCUUUCAUUUUUUCCUAUGUGUUCCCCCUUCGGUAUCUAUUAUUUGAGCUUCUCUACGAUCAAUUGUUCAAUGUUGAUAAACCUUCACAUUAUCCGUCUGUAGGUGGAUGUUUUGUUGAAGGUGACUGGUUAAGAAAUGCAUUUCGGUGGAAAGAAACCAUUGGAAAAUGGGAAGAGAGGCCCGGACAUUUUGGUGAUGUUUGGAAUUACUGGACUGAUGAUGGACUAGGCCAUUUUGAGUUUCUGCAGGUCAUAUUCUAGUUUUCCAACUUCGUUGCAAAUGUAUUUGAAGCACCUGGCAGAUCAUUCAUGCUUAAAUCACACAAGCACCCCCCCAAAAAAAACAUUUGCACACACUUGAUGUAAACAGUUGUAUGCUUAUGAAUUUGAAUGAGUCGAGCUUGUUUUCUGCAGCUUGCCGAGGACUUAGAUACACUACCAGUUUGGGUUUUCAACAAUGGUAGUUCCGACACUUCCACAAAUGUAGUAUUCUCUUUCUUCUGCUCUAUUUAGUCUAUUUAAUUAAUUUAAACUUUUUCUUUUUGUUCUUCUAAAUUUUCAGGAGUCAGCCACCAUGACCAAGUUGACACUUCCACUAUUUUACCUUUCGUACAAGUAGGUUUAUUGCAUUUUUAGCUCAUUGAAUAUGAUGAUUGUUAUUUAAAUUUAAUAUAGUGUUAUGAGCGCUUCUUUUUUUUUUGUCAGCUGGAAGUUGUCUUUUUGUUCAAAAAAUCUUAGGCAAUAAAAACUCACAUCACUAAAAGCUUCACUUUUUAAUGGCCAUAAUACUCGAGUGAAACUUCUCUUGGCUUUUGCAUUAGUACUUUAUGAUAAGGUUUAUUGUGUUACAUAUUCAAGUCACCAAAGUAAUCAGUGUUUUGAAAGCAACUUACAGCGGACACUCAUUAUUAUCGUGGUGUAAAUUGGCCAAAAAAGUGAAAUUAGCAAUGGAUAUUACCUAACGCCCACUUGCUUCACUCUCUGUAUCAACAAUUUGUCUCCCUUUGUUCCUUAUUACAUUACAUUCUUACAAAUAUAUUUUGUUCCCUAUCCAGGAAAUAUUAGACGGUCUUGAGUUUGCAAGAGGCGAUCCUACAUCAGCAUGGGGUUCUGUUCGAGCCCAAAUGGGACAUCCAGAGCCCUUUGAUUUGAGAUAUGUUGCUAUCGGAAAUGAGGAUUGUGGAAAAACAAAAUACCGUGGUAUGCAUACUUUACUGUCUUUGGCAGAUGAUAUAUUUCUCUUUUGGUUCGCAGGGAACUUAUUAUGGCGCACAAAGGAUUUACAUGUUAUAUAACUUUCUAGUGGACAUUUUAUGACAUUUUAAUUUAUUUUUUCCCAUAAAGUUGCACGUCUCUCAUUACCUUCCCAGAAUUUGAAGUGGGAAUUAAACCUGAAUUAAUCUAUGAUUUGGAUUGACCUUCUUUCUGUUCCCCUAGGUGAGUGUGUGUUGGCAUAAGGAAUAAGUUUGGUGUCUUUAUAGUUUAUACUAAUAUAAUAUAAAUUUAAAAUUUGAUGAUGUGGAUUUAAGAUCUUCACGGUUUCUAGUGCACCUCUCUCCCUUCAUGCUUUCUUUCUAUCUGUCUUAUUGUACUUUAGUAAUCAGUUCCCUUCACAGUUUUUUGAAAAUCUGUCAGAACUCGUCAGUUGUCUAACAAGAUAUCUCUUGACGUUUGAUCUCUUACCAUUGAUAUCUGAGGCUAGUCCUUUGAGACUCCAAGGGCAUUAUUUCUUUUAUUAGUCCAGAUUCGUGAUUUUAAAACUGCAUACAUCUGAGUGAAAAGAGGUAUGACUGAUUUCUGUUACUUGUGAUUCAGGAAAUUAUCUCAAGUUCUAUUCGGCCAUCAAAGAUAAAUACCCAGAUAUUAAAAUAAUCACAAACUGUGAUGGUUCUACGAGAGCACUGGAUCACCCAGCUGAUUUAUAUGAUUUUCAUGUAAGAUCUUGAUGCUUUUCCAAGUAUAUCUCACAUUUAGACUAAUAUAAAAGCUUUAACUUUGGUUUCCUCGUCUUAGCAUGUGUUUUAACUUUGUGAUUUUUCUAUGGCUAGAUUUAUAGCAGCGCAAGUUCUGUAUUUGCCAAUGCUCGCCAUUUUGAUAGUGCACCACGCAGUGGACCAAAGGUUGGUUAAGCUUCCUUCUGAUGAUCAAUGAGUUGAAUUAUUUACUGGUUCUUACGUAUAGCGUAUAUUUCUUCCAGGCUUUUGUGAGUGAGUAUGCUGUGACUGGAAAUGAUGCUGGAAAAGGUAGUCUUUUAGCGGCAUUGGGUGAAGCUGGGUUCCUCAUUGGGAUAGAAAAGAACAGGUACCUGUGUAGCAUUUGUCUAAUUUUCCUUUUUAUAAUUGGUACGGUUCCUGCCUGUACACGUCUUAAGUUCUUUGACCGAAAACCUCCUUGCUUAUUUUGUGGGAGAAAGGUUUUGAAAUGCUUUCUCUGUAUAUGUAGAUUCCAUGGCCGUGUUGGUACCGCGAGUUCUUUUGAACAGUUUCUCUAGGGUGGGGUGGGGGUGCGCGUUAUUCUAACUCUUUUUUUUUCCUUCGGUCGAGAAAAUUUAUGAGGGGAAGACCACAUUCAGAAAAAAUUGCAGGGUCAGCUUCCACCCCCUAAUAGCUAAAGCUAUUGCUAUAUAGACUAUAUAUUGAUCAAAAAAUGAGUUUAACUAGUUCUAUAAAGUAUAAACUAUCAAGGGUGGGUAUGUGAUUUUUCUUUGACUAAUGACAAAUGGAAAGGGUGAUAUGCGUUCACUUACCAAAGUCUCUGUUGAUUAACGUCCUCCUCCGUUUCCUAUGCAAAUAAGUGAGCUUUACUUCAGAUUUUACUUGAAAACGUUCUAACCUACACCAGUCCAUCAUGCAAUAUACUACACGAUACCUUGAUUUGAUCGUAUGAGGGAUAACUUUGAUCAUCAGGCAUUGACUACGCUAAUCACCUUAAACUAAUAGACAGACCAUUUUCUUUCCAUUACGAUACUCUCUUCAUAUGAUGUAACUCGAAAUUAUUCUCUUUGCAGCGAAGCAAUUGAAAUGGCUAGUUAUGCACCCCUAUUUGUUAAUGACAACGACAGGAGGUAUGUCUGAUUGCUUCUGCUAUUAGAAAACUCUUAUUUCUAAUUUCUUACUUUUUUUCUUUUUUGAAGAUUUUCUUAAUGUAUUCUAUUGACGAAAUUGUUAAUUCAUGUAGGUGGAACCCUGAUGCAAUUGUCUUCACCUCUUCACAAAUGUAUGGAACCCCUAGUUAUUGGAUGCAACAUUUCUUCAAAGAGUCAAAUGGCGCAAUUCUACUGAGUUCGUCGCUACAAGCUAAUCCUGCAAAUUCACUUAUAGCAUCUGCCAUCACUUGGCGAAAUUCAGUUGAUAACAACGAUUAUUUGAGAAUAAAGGUGUGGAUGUUUUCUUGUUUUGGUUCAUCGCUUCAUAGAUAGUUAUCAGUAGAACUUCAAAACUUUUCAAUGGUCGAUAUUCACCCUCAACAAGUAGAACUUUGUGCCAGCAUAAUUUCAUCUCCUCAUUCCUAAGAUGCACGAUCUUCCUGACCAUUUUGCAUGUACACAUACGAUUCUGUCUUUAAUCCGGUUCAUUACUCAUAUGUUGAGAUAUUUUCCCCAGGUCGUGAACUUUGGAACCACCACGGUUACUCUUAAAAUCUCUAUCAGUGGAUUGGGGAAGAACUUGUUAGAGACGUCAUUCGGGGCUAUAAAAAACACAUUAACAUCCACAAAUGUGAUGGAUGAAAAUUCCUUCAGAGAGCCUAACAAGGUACAAUCAUCUUUCUAUGUACUUCUUAUCCUAAAAGAUUUUUCAUCUUUCAUGGAUGACAUUAUUUUCUGUAUCUACUACCAGGAUUUGUUGGUUUGGCAUAAGUUGUUUCACAUUUAGCAGCUAAAACCUAUGUUGCUCCGACUCUUCAAAAACACCGUAGGAGGAUCUGACACGAGUACAACAACAAUUUUGAAGAGCCCGAGCAACAUAGGCUAAAAUAAAUUCAUACUCGAAUAACUGUCAGAAGAAACUUAAUUGCUUCUUCACUUUUCUUUAUGGAACAAGUCGAGAAUCUCUAACUUGCAGGCUCACCCAGUUUUUACACUAAACCACAACAAAUCGAGGUGAAAAUGCAUUUAAUCUUUAAGUGACAUGCGUAUAUAGAAGAUGCAUAUCAUGAACUUAUUGGUUUGGUAUAAACAUCAGGUCAAAGUUUUUUCUGCCGGAAUCUACAGAAGCGUUGUAGUUUAGCGCGAUAUCUAAGUUUCAACUUACAAUACCUAUUUUUUAGUGAAAUUUUUACCAAUAUUUUUUGGUUGUUUUUAUUUAAUUUUUUUUCCUAUUUAUGUAGGUAUCACCUGUUAAAGCAAUGCUUGAGAAAGUUAGUGACAACAUGGAUGUUGUACUGGCACCAAGAUCCCUCAAUUCAUUUGACUUUUUAAGAAAAUCAAUAAGCAGCAAUGUUGAUACUGCUUCUGUCCUUAAAUCUUCAUACUAAGUUGUACUAUCCAUCAAUUUAAUUUAAAAAUAUAAUGUGGUUAUUUAUCAAUAAUAUCAUUUUCAUUCAUUAGUUCUUGAAAUCUCCUUUUACUUUUGCUGUUCUAUUGCACUUAAAAAGGUUAUCUGUCAUUAUGAGAACUUCGUCGAGCCUCGGUGGAUAGAGUUAUUUGGUAUUUGUUGUUGGUAGGAGGCGUUCGAACGUGACGAUUAUUAGAAGAAAGGAGAAAGAGAGUAUAUUAAUUCUGAUUACUUAAUCUUUUUAAUGAUUUAAUACACAAUCGAUUCAUAAAAUUUGUCAGGAUAUUUCAUUUAGAUACUCGAAUUAAGUUCUAUUUCAAUUGAACAUCUCAACUCUUAGUAAAUUGUUGCAAUAAGACACUUUCGAUUCAUAUUUUGAAAAAAGUUUUGCAUUUAUUUUCAUUCGUCUAUUAGAUAGUUAAGUUGACCACGUAAGAUAUAUCAUCUCUUUUAAUGUAGAAAUUAACCUAAUUCACCAAUUUUAAUCAAAUAAUUUAAUUUGAAAAAAAAAAUCUUUUUUACUUUAUACUGCUUUUUAUGCUCAAUUGUUAAGUACUCAUUAACAACAAAAUUCUUUUUACAGUGCACUUUAACAAACUACUAUGGCAUUCAAAAAUCAAGUCCAUAAUGGAAUUAAUUGAAUUUCUAUUUACAUGUUAAGCACUACAACCAUAUAGUAUUAGUAUAAAUUAUUACUAAUUAAUUGUCUGUUAAAAAGUAUUGAGACUUUGAGAGGAAAGAUAAUUCAGUGUAUUAUUGAAAAAAAAAGAUAAGAAUGUAUUAAUUAUGACAACCAAGACAGAAGAUUAUAAUAAUUGAUCUUAAUUAUUUGACAUUUGAAUCAAUAUGAAUGUGAUUUUCUUCACCAUAAUUAUUUGAUGAAAUUAUUAGGAUGCCAUUUGAAUCAAUAUGAAUGUAAUGUUCUUCACAUGAUAAAAUAUUAACCAAAUCCAAAUAUCAAACAAGAAAGGCUAACACAUUUCUAAUGUCAUGUAUAAAAAAGAACUAGAGAAAAAAAAAGACUUAUAUGAACUUGUUAUUUAUCAUGAUCAAAUUCUAAAUAUAUUUUGAAUAUACAAUAAUACUCAUUAUUUUACAAUUAAGUGAUAGAACAUAUAUAAUGCAUUUGUUAGCUCACAGUAUACAUAGUUUGAUAAAUACUUAGUUAAAACUUGUUGAGAAGCAAACACAAUCCCACAUUGAAAAAAUAAGGGGAACAUGUCUAAUAUUUAAAGUGUCACCCAACUCCACUAGUAUUAGGCCUUUGGGAGGUGCCCAAAAAUAAAUCCGUGAGGGCUUGAUCCAAAGCGGACAAUAUCAUAUUUGUGUGGAGUUACACGCUUACCACCAACAAGUGGUAGAGCCUAGGUUCAGGUGUGUCGGAGUGGUGACUGCAGUUAGUGAGAAGUUUCCGGUGUAACGACAAGACUGGAGAUCUGCAGGUGGUGCCUUGUGUGUCCCGUUGGGUGAUAACGGCGGUACAAGAUGUUUGACAGAUCAUGUGAAGUGACCUAGUAGUUGAGAUCUACGGUUGAUGCCUCGUGUCGAAAGUCGGGUGAUCUGCAGGUGGUGCCUUGUGUGUCCCGUUGGGUGAUAACAGCGGUACAAAAUGAUCUGCAGGUGGUGCCUUGUGUGUCCCAUUGGGUGAUAACGGAGGUACAAGAUAUUUGGCAGAUCAUGUGAAGUGACCUAAUAGUUGAGAUCUACGGUUGAUGCCUCGUGUCGAAAGUCUUCUUGACAAGUGAUGGUCAAGCGACGUGUUUCACUAGUUGGUAGUGGCGAUACGGGGAAGUCACAAGUGAUUGUGGUCUUGGUUUGAGGGGGGGAUUGUUCUGAAGCAAGCACAAUCCCACAUCGAAAAAAUAGAGGGAACAUGUCCUUUUGGGAGGUGCCCAAAAAUAAAUCCGUAAGGGCUUGGCCCAAAACGAACAAUAUUUUCUAUGUUAUAAAAUAAGAAAGAAUAAAGAAGAAGAAUAGAGAGAGUGAUUCUUAUUUCUUCUCUUGAGGGAUGAGAGAUCUUAAGAUUGUAAAUACAAUGAACAAAACCCCUUCAAGUCAAAGUAGAUCUUGAUAGACAUUCACUAUAAUGUAAAUACAUUUAUAACACUCCCUCUUGAAUGUCUAAUUGGUAGAUAAUGUGCCUCGUUAAAACCUUCAUUUCUGCUGCCUCAUUAAAAACCUUACAAGGGAAACUCAGUGGGACAAAACCUCAUAAGGAAAAAAGAGUACAGCGCGUAUUAACUCCCUCUAAUGAGAACAUCCUUGACCUUUGCAUCUCGAUCUUGUGCAACAUCUUCUUAAAAGUUGCAAUUGAAGAAGAUUUGGUGAAUAAAUCAGUCACAUUGUCAGUUGAACGAAUCUGUUGCAUGUUAAUAUCAUCAUUCUUUUAUAGCUCAUGUAUGUAGAAAAGCUUUGGCAAAAUGUGCUUCGUUCUAUCUCCAUUUAUGAAUCCUCUCUUAAGAUGUGCUAUGUAUGCUGAAUUAUCUCUGUAUAAAAUUGUAGGUAGAUUGUCAUAUUUCACCCCACAUUUUUCUCGAAUGAGAUGUAUCAUGGACCUCAAUCAUACACAUUCUCGGUUUGCUUCAUGGAUAGCUACUAUCUCAGUAUGAUUCGAUGAAGUGGCUACGAUAGACUGCUUUGUAUGUCUCCAAGAUAUGGCGGUACCACCACAUAUGAACACAUAGCCUAUUUGAGACCGAGCUUUAUGCGGGUCAGAUAAGUACCCAACAUCAGCAUGACCAAUAAGAUCGGGACUAGAAUCUUUAGAAUAAAACAAGCUCAUGUGUUUUAUCCCAUUUCGAUGUCUCAUAGUAAGAGCAGAAAUAUACCUUGCUAACAAAUUGACUGAAAAGGCUAUAGGUCUUGUAGUAUUUGCAAGGUAUAUGAGUGCAUCAAUUACACUAAGAUAUGGUACUUCAUAACCAAUCCAAUUCGAUAUAUUUUAAAUUUCAGCAAAUAAUCUAUUGCUUUGAAAACUCUCUAAGAGGUCCAAUGAUGUUCAAGCAAUAAGCUUAUACAAUAUAAGGAUUAUAAAUAAGUUUCCCAGAAGCUUUUAUAUGCUUCAAGCAGUUUGAAUCCUUAAAAGUUUUCACAUAAGUUUUGUCAAGUGACAAUAUUCAACAUUUCAUGAGUGACAUCUUCAAGUGCCUGAAUUCAUCCUUUCAUGUCACUUGAUAAAUAUUUCUACGUCAGCAUGCUUAAAUAAAAAUAGAAUUCAGAUCCUCGUAAUCUUUCACAAUACUGCGCUAAUAUUGUGUCAAAGAUAUUGAUGAUAUAUCAUUUCGUAUCGGUUCACAAUGCGACAUAACAUUUGAGAUCUCAUCACUUCAUUAUUUUUAGGUAUAUGAACCUCUCAUAAGGUUUCAUGAAGUGUUAUGUCGUAGGCUCUUCAAGAGCUCAUUGCCUUCUUAUUAUGAUUAUUUGCUCCUUAUUUUUCAAGGACUAUUUCAUUUGGAACCGAUNNNNNNNNNNNNNNNNNNNNNNNNNNNNNNNNNNNNNNNNNNNNNNNNNNNNNNNNNNNNNNNNNNNNNNNNNNNNNNNNNNNNNNNNNNNNNNNNNNNNNNNNNNNNNNNNNNNNNNNNNNNNNNNNNNNNNNNNNNNNNNNNNNNNNNNNUAGUGAUAAUUCCUAACAUAUUUCAUAGCUCUUAUAAUCUCCCCCUUAUGUUAGGAAAACUAACAUACAUCCUCUACUUCUUUGAGGAAUCCAUCGUUGUGCAUUAUGGUAUAUUCAUUAAUCGUAUACCGCACAUCAAAAUUAUUAGAAGAAAUAAUUGGUUUCCGAAUUUGAACCAAUCGAGGGGGGAGAAAUAAUCAUAAUUUAUUGGUCUAAUGCAUACAAAUGUUAUUGCAAUAUAUCAUAUUUCAGACCAAUACAUUAAGUUUUGUUCUCACUAACAAUGGUUUAGAUAUUUAUCGAAGACAUUCAAUGUUAAACCAUCAUCAUCAAGAUGAAUUAUCUUGAUUACACAAUCUGAAAAUUAUGCUAAAUUUAUAUUGAACAAGUAACUUUAUGAAUGUCAAACGUAGGUUGACCAUGAAUGUACAUGUGAUCAUCUUAUUGAUGCAUCUUUUCAACAUAUCACAUGAUAGGUGAACGAACCCUUAUUCACCUUUUAUAAUUUUCAGAUUUGAAGGGAUCCAAUCCCAAUAUUAGUUGGUCCAACCAACUUGUCAUGAGANNNNNNNNNNNNNNNNNNNNNNNNNNNNNNNNNNNNNNNNNNNNNNNNNNNNNNNNNNNNNNNNNNNNNNNNNNNNNNNNNNNNNNNNNNNNNNNNNNNNNNNNNNNNNNNNNNNNNNNNNNNNNNNNNNNNNNNNNNNNNNNNNNNNNNNNNNNNNNNNNNNNNNNNNNNNNAUUUACUACUUUAGAAGUAGAUUUCAAAAUUAUUCAACCUCUUUCGGAGGUGAGUUGUGAUACAAUCACAAUCAAGUGCACGUUUGCAUUAAUAAGUUUCUCAUUCCUCAGGAAUGGAAUAUAAUCAUGCCUUAAACCUAUUAAAUUAUGAUAGCUUAUAACCUGUUUCAAAAUUUUGCUACUUCAAAAGCAAAUCGAGGCAUACAUAUGAUGUAGAGAAUUUUUCUCUAGCAUAUAUUACAAUCAUAUAAACGUGUGAAAAUAUCAUCACUUUUGAUGAUCAUUAUCAUAUUGUCCCUCCACGCGUAUAUUCGUGCCUUCAAUCACUUGUCUUCUUUCAGACAUAUUAUGCACUGCUACCACAUACACCUCAAGAAUGAAGUAAGUUGUCAUAUUUCAGACUUAUCAUAUAUUGCCACCACAUUCACUUCAUGGAAUGGAGCAUAUUCAAUGGGUUGAAUUUCAUGACUUUUCAUCAAACACCCAUUAUUUUGCUUUAGCCAUCGCAAUAUCAUCAAUAUGGUGUAUUGAGAUUCAAACUCAAUAUUUGAUCCAUAUAAAAGUGUCUUAAGCAUGAAUCGAUGGAACUUGAACCCAACAUAUUAUCAUCCUUUUUGAUAGUACUGUUCUUGAGGAAUAAAUUUAAAAUAUAAAUGGUUCCAAACCAAUUAUUUUUUCUCAAAUUCAAUAAUAAUUAUAUUAGUAGUAGCAAAAGAAAGAUAAAUAAAAAAUUACUAACCUUGAAAUCCUUCAGAUUUAUAAUCUCACCUUGUCUGGCAGAGUCUCGUGCUGAUAACGUGUUAUAAAACAAGAAAGAAUAAAGAAGAAGAGUAGAGAGAAUAGAGAGAGUGAUUCUUAUUUCUUCUCUUGAGGGAUGAGAGAUCUUAAGAUUGUAAAUACAAUGAACAAAAUCCCUCUAUUUAUAGGAGAAAUUUACUCCUAGUCUGAGUAAAAGACGGAUGCUUCAAAUCUUAAUAGAUAUUAGAUCUUGAUAGUCAUUGACUGUAAUGUAAAUACAUUUAUAACAUUCUGUAUAAAUUCUUUUUAAAAAAAUUGAAGAUUUCUUUUUUUUUCCCAACCUUAUGAAUCCAACCAUGUCCCAUGUCUCUAUCUAUAGAGAUAAUUUUUUUUUUCUCAUUCAGCAUUUAUGUGGAGAUAAUUAAGCUAAUCUCAUUAUUACUUUCACUACUUAAACCUGCACUAUUAGAGUAUUCACACCAUUUUUAAAACAAUAGUCAAAUUUGAAAUCAAAGUCAUUACUACUAUUUUGGUACUAGAAAAAACAAUUUUUUGAAUGGAAAAAUUUAAUGAUUUCACACUUUUACUCUACAAGACAAAAUUAACUUAAAAUUAAUAUAUUUCUCUUAAAGAUGGAGCAAAUUAUGCUACUCAACUUCUAUCUUUGGUUCAUUUUUCCUUUGGAAAAGUUUUAAUAAAUUCAUGAGUCUAUGAAUAAAAAUUGACCAAAAGUAGUACUCCUUAAUAACAUUUGGAGGAAAUUAUGUAAAUCUAACUUCUAUUUUUGGUAUUUUUCCUUUUGGAUCUUUACACAACUAAUCAUCCAAACUCCUUAUAUAUUUUUCUAGUUAAUAUAUAUAAAUUAUAGACUAUUUUAAUAUGAUUAAACAAUAAUAAUAAUAAUAAUAUAUCUCGUAUAAGCCUACAAAAAAAUCUGAAAAGAAUAGUGUGUACGUAGACCUUACUUUUUCCUUAAAAAGGUACUAGUGCACAUAUUAUAUACGUAUUCUCAAAUCUCAAUUUAUGUGACACUUUUUUUUUGAUCAAUCUCAAAAAUAAUUAAGUCUUUUUAUAUUUAGUAAUAAUAUAACUUUAAACUUCUCAUUUUACGUUAAUGAGAUUAUUUAUGACCUCACAAAUAUAUAUAUAGAGCUUAUUUUUGGAUAAAAAAUUUCACAUUUAUAUCAUUCUUAAAUUUCCAUUUCCUUUUCCUUCACUUCAUAAUUUAUGAAUAUGACAAAAUUGGACCCCCCACUCACAAGAGUGCCAAUGCCACUUACCAAAAAUUACCACAAUUUCUGCUCAUUUUGCAUUCUCUCCAAACCCCAAUAAUAUAUAACUACUAGUCAUCACUUUCACCCCACACCCCCACAAAAUUAACACCCCCCAAAAAAAAUCAAUAUUCAUAAAAACAUUUGUACAAGCAAAAAAAUUGAAACUUUAUACAAAAUGGAUCAAGAAUUUAAAAAAAAAAGUUAAAUACGAUAAAAAAUAGUCUAGGAGGGUCAUAGCACCCUCACAAAGUUCAGAAUACGUGACCUCAAAUUUUAUCAAAGUAUAGAUAUUUUUCGCAUUUUUUUUCUAAAAAAAAAUAUAAUUAGUAUUUAGUGCUCUCACCAAAACUUACUAGUCAUCACCCACCCCCUCCAAAAUAAAAAAACUUCAUAAAACACUUUAACAAGCAAAAAGAUUGAAACUUUAUGCAAAAAUGGAUUAAGAGUUCCAAAGAAAUUGAAUUGCUAGUCAUCACUUUUAGCCCCACGCACCCUACCCCCACGUACCCACCCACCCCACUCCAAAAAUAAACUUCAUAAAAACACUUGAACAACUCAAAAGAUUGAAGCUUUAUGUAAAAAUGGACUAAGAGUUCCAAAGAAAUUGAAUUGCAAAAAUGAACCAAGAAAUGCAAAGAAAUUUAGUUAGUGGAACUGGUGGUUUUGAACCUAGAUAUUUUAGAGGUUUAAGUACCCCUUUUUCAUUUUCUUUAACAAGAUUAGCUUCUUGUUUCAAUCUUCAACAUCAAAGUUUUGAUUUUGAUGAUGAUGAUGGUGGGGUCUCUUAUGGGUAUUCAAGACCCAUUGUAGUUCUUGAUGUUAUAUGGAAUUUGGCAUUUGUUGUUGUUUCUUGUUUUGUGUUAUUGACUACUAUUGCAGAAAAGCCUUCUACUCCAUUGAGGCUUUGGAUUGGCGGUUAUGCACUUCAGUGUCUCUUGCAUGUUGGUUUUAUUUGGGUUGAGUUUCAAAGGAGGAGUUUUGAUGAUUUUGAUGAUGUGAAUUUUGAUGGGGUUUCUCCUUUUUCAUUGUUUCAUAGCAGGUAAUAAUCUCCAGUUCAAUUCUGCUGAUUUUAGGGUUUGGUUGUUAGUAUUGUGUUUAAAUUUUAAUUAUUUUUUUGGAGCUAUUGUUAAUCUGACUGAAUGAUUUAUGUAACUUUCUGAACAGGGAAGUUGUUUAUUUUUUUGUCAAAGAUAAAACUUUGCUUGUAGUUGACUUGUUGCAUGUUACUCUUUACCUAUGAAUAUGUUCAUUCUCUUUUCCUUUGUACUCCCUCUGUUUCAACUUGUUUGUUUGGUUCUGACUUGACAUUGACACAGAGUUUAAGGAAGUAAAGAAAGACUUGUGAAUCUUGUUGUCUAAAGAACACUUUUGAAUCUUGUUGCAUGUUAAGCUAGGAAAAUGUCAUUCUCUUUAGUUUUUCCUCUUAUACUCUCUCUGUUUCAAUUUGUUUGUUUGGUUUUGACUUGGUACGGAGUUUUAAGGCACUAAACAUUACUUUUGAAUCUUGUGGUCUCAAACUAAAGAUAUUAUAGAAUGUACCAAAAUGCCUUUUAGUCUUGUGGUUUAAACAUGUCAUGUGGGAAGCAAGAAUUAAAGAGUUGCCAAGAAAGGAAAGAGACAUUCAUUUUGAAACGAACUGAAGAGGGAUGUAGAAGUUAGGACCAACAAAUUGAAAUGGAGGGAGUAGCAUUUUUAUGGUUUACUGAUAUUCUGUGGUUUGUUCUAUAAAUUUUCCUCUUUACGUUUUUCUAUUUGCAGUAAGUUUUGGUUUCUCUAUAGGGUGGGGACUGGGAUGGUGUGGCAGUAGGGUACAGGGGCGGAGCUAGCCUUUCGUUAGGGGGUUCAUCCGAACCCCCUUCGACGGAAAAAUAUACCAUUUGUACAUGAUCAAAAUUAUUUUUUAUGUGGUUAUAGUAGGUUUUGAACCCCCUUCAACUAAGUUUUCUUUGAAUAUUGAACCCCCUUAGUUGAAAUCCUGGCUCCGCCUCUGGACUAGGGUGGAUAGUUCAUAAUUGAGGAAAUCCUUAGAAAUCUAUCUACCUAGUUUGACUAGCAUAUUGUAUUUUUCCUUUUUUCUCUUUGAGUUUCUGAUUUCAUUCAGUCUUAGUUUACUGACUUUCCAAAGAAGAAUAACUGGAUACCAGUAUAAUAUGCCUUUAACAAAGAUGAGGAAGAAAUAUCAUUUUUUUUUAAUUCAAAAUGUUUGAAAGCUUAUUACAAGAUCCAAUUUUUGUGUUACAUAUCACAUAUAUAUGGGGGGAUAACGUCUAUCUAGGAGUGACUAUAUCAAAAGACAGAAACUUCACAAUCCUUCCUUCAUUUGAAUUUACGAUUCUCUAGUUCCGUGUUUAUUCUUUAUCAAUUAAUUUAUUUGAUAAACAAAGUCUAGCUUCUAGUUCAUGGAUACUAACAUGGCUUUUGUAUACAAAGUGGUCUGUUUUAUAGGUAAAUUGAAAAGCAAAUCUAGUUGCAAUCAGAUGUCCUUUUAAGUAACAGUUGUUUCUGUCUGCUUUCUGGUGCCAUGAGACAACUCACAGAUUGCGGGUCGUGGGGUUGAACCAUUCUGUUAAUGUUACUAGGCGUGUAAAACUCUAUAGCAGGCUAUGUACCGGCUUUGUUGGGUCUCUUCUUAGCAAUUGCUGAGGAGAUAUUUGAGGUGAAGACAGGCCCGUAUAUUAUAUAAGCAUGAAUUGAGAUGUUUUAUGGGCUUUAGUCGGUCUUCCUAAGAAAUCACACUAUUUCCUAAAAGACUAUCAAUUGAGAAUGAUUGCCUUUAGUAUUUGGCAUCUUGCUGAUACAUCUCCAUAGGAAAUCAAUGUUCAUCCGCUCUGAUAAGUUUCAGGUAUAACUCAGGAGAGGUCAUGAUUUAUCACAUACAUAGACACACACACACAAUGAACUUAAGAAAAGGGGCUGGCUUUUAGUGUAAGGAAAUCUAUUGACUUCUUCUCAAAUGGUGAAGUUUAUGGAGAUUUCCUGGAGUUUAUAAACCCGUUUGUCUGUGUAGUGAUAGGUGAUACUUAGAACCUCUAGUUGUAGAUCCCUAAUUUGCCUUUGAAAACAAGUUAUUAGUAGUAGGGCGUUGAACUUCAAUAAAGGACAAUUGUACAUAGAGGAUUUAUAUAGCCAACCUUAGACUAGUUUGGGAUUGAGCAUAGUUAGUUGAUUGAUUGAUAUAUCUUAUCAACCAAAGCUCUAAUGACAAUAGUGCUCGCAUAUACUGUGAUCAACCCUCAAGAACUCAACAAGGAAAAAUAGCAUGGUGAGAUUGGAGGCUUCAUCUCCCCCCUCCCCAGCCAAUCCUUCUUUUUCUUGAUGGCAAGGUCGACCUCAUAUUAGCAUGAUUCUCAAAUUUGGUCUUGUAUCUUGUACUUGAAUUGCUGGUCCAGGAAGGCACACUCUGUCCUCCCUUGCAGCCUUGUUUAAAAUGGCUAGGUCUUGGACAUCUUCGGAAUUGAUAGUUUCCAGACAGUUCAUAUGUUUUGCUGGCAGCCUCACUAAUGGAGUGUACCUAUAAUGUGAAACAUUUCUGCCCAACCUUUGAAGGAUCAAGGAUGUUUUGGAGAACAUUUGAUUUAUAGUCUUUUCUCAUCCAUUGCGUCUAGCAUGAAAUAUCCUUUAAGAUUUUGAUCUUCCAUCUUAACUAGGAAACAUAGAGAGGAAAAGAGUAAUUAUAAUACUGAAUCGAUAUUCAGCUGUGGUGGUUCACAUGAAGUAUCAAUACCCCAAGCUCUUUUUUUUCAUAUUUAGUUUGCACCGCAAAAGGAUAAAAUAAAAGAAGAAGAAGAAGAAGAAGAUUGAAGGAUAAAAAAUCAAUUAGUUUGUUGUUCUUAAAGCUCAAGAGAGGGAAAGAAAAGAAAAUUGCUGUGGCUCCGUUUUUUCAAUGCUACUUCACUUUCCAAUGUAUGGAUUUGUUUUUGUCCUGGAACUCAUGGACUAAAGCUCAAAAUUCUGUUUGACCUUUUCUAUUUUGAGUGUGAAAUGUUUUCACUUUUAGAAGAUGACAGUUGUGUAUAUAACUUUCCAUCAUUUUAUCUUUUAGCAGCAUCAUGAAGAGGCUGGAAUCAGUCAAUACGGUGAUUUCAUCAAUCUGGUGGGUGUUUGGCUUUUACUGGAUUGUCAUGGGUGGCCAGGCUCUUCUGCAAGAUUCACCUCGUCUUUACUGGUAUGAGCCCUGCUUCUAGAAUUUUAAGCUUUAUUACUUUAUAAUUACUGAUGUGAGCAAUGAUUUCCCCUUCCUCCCGAUCCCCCAAAAGUGUAUGAAAAAGCAAAAAGCAAAAUAUGCAAGGUUAUAUAAAGCUGAAGAUAUUAAGUGGUGAUUGUUAUUUCGCUGUAUGUUUACUUUCCAUUGACACAUUUAUGCAGGGGUGGGGGUAGUGUUUAAGGUACUGGUUUAGCCGAACUAGUAACUAAUAACUUUGGUCCAAACUUAGUAUUUGUCUUAAGAAAUUCAUUUAAUAUGUACAAACUAUUAUGUCAGAACCCGGUAACUUAAAAGGUUAUAAUCUCAGACUAUAAGCUUUAGGUCUUGGCUCCGCCUCUUCAUUUAUGUUUAUUUCUCAACAGUAAGGGUGCAAAACUAGUUUUAUUUGCUUUUUAAAAUAUGCGUAUGCGUGUGUAUGUUGGGAUUCAGGAUGAGGGUGGGGAGACUUAAAGUACGAGUAUGUUUGUUAGCUUAAAUAACAAUAUCCUUCAAUUUUGCAGGUUAUCAGUUGUUUUCCUAGCAUUUGAUGUGUUCUUUAUGAUCUUUUGCAUUGCGAUGGCAUGUGUAGUCUUCUUCGCGCUCUUUUGUUUCUUUCCAUUUAUCACAACAGUUGCAUAUUGCAUGAGACUUGGAGAUGGAGCAUCUGAAAGUGAUAUCAAGACUCUUCCCAAGUAUAGAUAUGGUCAACCUAAUACUUCAGAGAACCUUGUAAACAUGAAGACGGGAGAAGAUCACUUAAUAUCACAGUUCAACAGUAUUGACUCUGUACCUGAGCUUGCUCUUCAACCAGAUGAUUCUGUAAGCAUGUCUUCUCACUUUUCCUCCAUUUCAAUCUUUUCCUCUGAUUUUGCUAUUAUUCUUCUCUUGUGCACUCGUGUUUUUUCUCUUACUUAGGCUAUCUUCACUAUUUUGGAUGUCAGUACUUUUCUACCGUAUUUUCACUAUGGUUUUUCCUCUUGUAUUUGUUAAAGCCGAGGGUCUAUUGGAAACAACUUCUCUACCUCACACAAGGUAGGGGUAAGGUCUGCGUACACCCUGCCCUCCCUAGACCCACUUGUGGGAUCACACUGGGUAUGUUGUUGCUGUGCACUCUCGUGUUUGCCAAAUUUGAAAUAAGAAUAAGAUUGUAAGUUUUGAGGAAAGUACACUGUUUAAAUUAUUAUUUGAAAUUGAGAAGAGACAAAAUUUAGAGACUCUGGAAAUAUAAACAUGGAGAGGCGAGAAAACUUUCAUCGUAAUUGAGGGAAUUUAUGAAGUAAUUGAGAAUGAAGAUCCUACUAUGAGUUGGUUUGAGAUCACUGAAUGAAGGAAUCUGGAUUUUCUCAGAUAUAGUUGGUGAGGUCACUAUAGUGUGUAAUUUUCUUUAAACGUAAAUACGUGAGUUCUUUUAUGUUCCGAAGUCAUCUCAAAAUGCUCUUUUUGAUUAGAUAUCCCAUUCAUCGAACUGUUAUUCCUUCUUUACUGGACAUUGCUGCAAUAUAGAUUUUCUCUAAACGUAAGUAUGUGUAUUCUUUUAUGUUCCAAAAUCUCAAAAUUCUCUUUUUGAUAAGAUAUCCCAUUCAUCGAACUGUUAUUCCUUGAGUACUUUGAGUCAUAUCUUUGGAAGAAAGCGAGAUGAUCCAUCUUUCUUUAUUGAACCUAUACCAAUUUCUCAUCAUGCUUCUGAAAGAAAUCGCCAAAAUUUUUGCUACUGAUAUCAACUAUAUGUCUGGUCUAUCGGGAAACAGCAUCUCUAACCCUACCCUACAAAAGUAGGUGUAAGGUCUGCGUACAUCCUACCCUUCAUAGACUCCACUUGUGGGAUUAUACCGAGUAUGUUGUUGUUGUUGUUGAGGAUUCACCGUAAAUUGACUAGUUUUACACUGGUUAUCAGUCAACCUACAAUCUCCUACUUUAUUCGAACUUGUAACUGUCAAUAUAAGCAAAGCUCGCACAUGGAUAGCUCUCAUUGUAUAUCAAACUGUGUUCUUUUGUAUCGUCUUUUUACCACGAGAAGCUAACUUUUCAUGUGAAUAUUGUUUUGCUACACAGGAGUGUUGCAUCUGCCUCUAUAAAUAUGUGGAUGGGGUAGAACUUUGUGUUCUUCCAUGCAAUCAUCAUUUCCACCAUGGAUGCAUUAGCAAAUGGCUAAGGAUCAACGCGACCUGUCCCCUCUGCAAGUUCAAUAUUCUUAGGGGUGACACUCUAGUCUGACUAUUUGUCUGUCAGAGAGUUGAGACUAUACUGAGAAAUGUAAUUUUCCAUGGCCUACUCUGAUCUUUUGGCAAAAUGUAUGUAAAAUUAGCCAUAUUUAAUGAGUAUCUCACCCUUACUGUCUUCUUGCCAUGAAGUUCCCCUUAUUCCCAUGUGUCUUUCAACAUGUUACCUCAAAUGUUUUUCUGUAUAUUCAACCUCUGGGUUUGUUAAUCUGAAGAAAGUUAUAGUCCAAAUAGUGAAAGGAGCACUCAAUCUUGCCACUGAUGAGGCUGAUGUGUGAGCACUUGCAAGCAAACUCUUGCCAACCACAUACUGUAUAUAAAGGCACUUUCUGGACUUUGAUUUGAUAAAAAUGCACUAUAGUAGUGAGUGGAGUUGCUCCUUUUGCUUUUGUUCUCCUCAUCAGUCAAUUUAUCCAAAUUUACUGCUCCAUGACAAUUCUCCAGGACAUAUAGACCUGGAUCAAAGUAAUUGACUUACAUAGCUUGAGCAUCCACAGAUUUAUUACUGUCAGCCCAUAAUUGAAUAGGUGGAGUUGGAGUACAGAUUUAUCCUGCAAAUUGUGAUAUACAUCUAGAAGACUAGAACCAGAAGACAAGCUCCGGGCUCUAUUCUUUCCCGCUUAAAUACUAGGCUUUUGUUUACGAUGCAUUUAACUCAUCCAUCGCGCACUGCACUCUUUACCACUAGACCAAAGUUCUUGGGAUAAUUAGUAACAAUUUCCAGAGCUACCAAUGUGUGCAACAGGAUAUCGCAAUGCUUAUACUCUAUAGUCACCAUGUCUGUUCAAGACUCAAUGACACAACAAAGGCAGUAGGAAAUUCAACUUUCUUUGUUCCAUAAACUUAGUGGUGACAAUGAGAAGGAUAACCUUCAAUAAGAGAGAGAACCAACUUCAUCCGUAGAGCUUUUCAACGCGCUAAAAGGGAGCUGAAGCCAUCUUUCCACUAAAACCUCCAAUUGAUCCUACAUACAUAGCUUCCAAAACAAAACAGAAGGGCAAGGGCAGCAAAAGGGAACUCCACAACAUCAGAAACAGUUCAACAAAGAACAUAAUCCAUCAAAAAUCAAGAAACAAAUUGGGAAAGAAUCUAAUUAAUUUCAAAAAAAUAUCAGGUACAGAUUGAAGAUAAUGAUCUUAAAGGUUACAGUAUUUCGAUAUUAGAAGGAAUACCAGAAAGCACGUAAACUUGCAAGACAUUCCAGGUUAAGCCUAGACAUUCUUGUUCUUCUUCAUCUUUGAAGGUGGCCACCGUCCUUUCUUCCUUAAGUGGCGCUUCCUAACGAGUCUCUUCCUCCGUAGUCUAAUCUUCUUCGCCAACUUCAUUUUCAUCUUCUGUUCAAGCUUUUGUUGAAGCUUAGACUCCAGGGGGAGAUUCUCAACAGGCACACUUCCCUCAUUCUUUUCCGGUGAAGGCUCAGGACUAUCAGAACCGACACCAUCAACAUCAGCAGCCGCCUUAGCAAUCAAUGCACCUCUCCUUUUGAAGACAAAAGGUGCUUGAAUAUUACCACUGCCAUAGGACUUUGCUGUCAGGGUAAUGUGAUUGUUGCAGAACCUGGAAGCUAAUACAGAACAGAUUACGACGACAUUCAGAAACCUUUUUAGAGUGUGGCUACAUCAACAACCAGAAAGAGAAUCAAGCAUAUUCUUUCUAUUUCUUUCCCUUUCUGAUCUCCAAGAAUUGAUAUAUAUUUAGAAAAGAAGUAAGCCAACAUCAUGUCCCGGUUUUUGACCUAUUUUCUCCAAGAUAUAGACUUUAUAUCAGUCACUGAAUUGUUGUUUGAAGUACACUUUCAUAUUCAUGUAUUAUGAACAUAUCAUAUGUUUGGGAUAGUCAAAUGAUAUAUGUGCACAAAAUUAAAGAUUAAAAUUGAUGGAAUACCUAAAAGAAAAAUGCAUCAUUAGAAAAGGGAUGGACUUCAUCAAUUAAUCCAAUCACAUAAAAGGCAUACUAGUGAUGAACAGUUAUAUUCCAAUAAAAUGCAAAAUGUAGACCCUAACCCCCCACUCCACCCCGCCUCUCGGCUCUCCAAUCAACUACGGAGACCGAGCAGGACAUGCCGUCUAGAUAUCCUCACGUUUUCGAGCCUUCAGUACUUCUAUUCGUUGACUUUUGAGGACAGAAGUCCUUUUUGUAUUGGAUGAUAUAAUGACCCUCUAGGUCAUUUUUGUAAUUUUUCGCACAUUUUGACCCUUCCCGUAGUUGGUCUAGGGUAUUCGUGCUCUGACGGAAAAGAACCGAAAAGAAAAACCAAGGGCCGACAAAGUAUGCUAUACAAAACAACUAAAAAGCUUCAACUACCCUUCCAUGUUAGAAUUUCCUCUAGAAAUGAAGGCAGGAGCAAAGCAUAUUGAUUCACCAGUUGGCUAACCUACUUGUUGGCUACUUACACUCUGUAAUAAGAAUAGUGGUCUGGACUUAAAACCACCCGCUUUUAGAAGUCUAGAAGACAACGCCUAAACUAGUCGGAGUUGCUUGAAUCGAUAGGCUUACCAGAUUUAUCUGUCUAUUCAAUUGAUUUUGUUGCAGACUCUUCCCACACCCUAGGCCUAUUGAAAUCUUCCGCUGUGCAAGUAAAUUUGGGCUCUGGAGAGGAAUAUCUGGUUCAUCAAAGAAUACAGCGUACCUCUAUUUAGCUCCACUGUCUUUCUUAUAGCUAUACCAGGAAUCCGAGCCUACCUCUUCCUAUUAUAGCCCUUUGCUCUAGUGUUUGCUUUCGUAUACUAUGCUUCUUAUCCAGCGUAUUGAACUCGCUCCCUAACUCUAAGAGCAACUCGUCCUUUAGAGUAGUUGAAGAAACUACUAACUCUUACUAUCGAGAUCGGGGUCUAUCUCACUAAACCCUUGCUUCACCAUGCCCAAGCUGGAGGCUUAGGAGAGUAAAAUAGGGUGAAGGUGGAUAUCGGCCAUCAAGAGCUUGUGAGUAUACAGGUUGGAUCUGAAUCUUCUCUAUAGUUAUCUAAUCUCUUUCUUUUUCCUACCUCUCUUACGGAGGGAAGUACAAAGGCAGCUGCUUCGAAGUUGAAGGGGCUCGCUCAUCCAUUCUCUAUAUGGAUGUAAUUUCAUACAUAAAGACGAAGAUCAAUUCCGAAUUAGUUGUGUUCAGCUACAUGAGUCUUCUGUACCCAGUUUCUCUAAUAGUCUAAGGUUCAUUUCAAAACCAAAUUAUUUGUUCUUUAAAGAAUACCAAAAAAACAUGAUAACAAAAGCUUCGCAUUUGCCCAUUCGGCACCCAAAUGGGCAAAAAAGAUGAUCAUUCCAAAUCACAUACAUAGCAAGGAAACAACUAACAACAACACAUACCCCAUAUAAUCCCACAAGUGGAGUCUGAGGACGGUAGGAUGUACCGAGACCUUACCACCCCCUUUGUGGGGUACAGAAGCUGUUUUCGAUAGACCCUCGACUCAAAAGGAAUGUCAAUAGCAAGGAAACAACUAAAGUUUCAGAACUAGACAAAUGCAGAAGCACAAAAACCCAAAACACAGGUUGAAAAACAACAAAAAUUUCAACAACAUAUAUUGGAGUAAGCAAAAGUACAACCCAGUCAACUAUAAUGACCAAGAACUCAAAAUCCCUUAAAACAAGAUUUCAAGAAUUACCCACCACUCAAUAUCUCAAAUAACACAUAUAUUAUUAUUAUUACACUUAGGGGAGUAUUCAAUCAAGAAUGUCAGUAAUAAUAAUACUCCCUCGGUCCCAUUUCAUGGUGUCGCGUUUUGACCGGGCACGAAGUUUAAGAAAUGAACUUUAUAAAGUUUACAAAAUUGUCCAUCUUAAAUUUUACAGUACUUUUUUAAUUUUCUUUUCUUAUUAAGUGAGACCCAGUAAGUAUGAAAUGGGACGUUGCCAUUAAAUAAUUACCUGCUAUGAAAAGAUGACAUUUUUUUUUUUAACGGAUUAAAAAGUAAAUGACGACACAUAAAAUGAGACGGAGGGAAUACUUACAUUGGGAAGUAGGGAAUCCAGAAGCUAGUGAAGCAGAGGAAGAGGAGAGAAGAACUGAGGGAGUUGUAGUGGUGAAGAUAAGGAGAGCCAUGUCUCCAGUUUUGAGUUUGUUUUAUGGAUAAGAAGACUAUUAUUACAGCAAUAUUUAUAUGAAUGAAAACUUUAACCCAAAAAAAAAAAAAGGAAUGAAAAGUAGAAAAUAAACAAAAUUGUGAUGCCUUUACCCAUAUGUUAUAUAAUGGCCCAAAAAAUAUUUUCAAAAUAAAACUAUUUACUUUUUCAUAUUUCACUCUUGGAAAUUGUUAUUUUUUGAAAAUUAUGAGUACUUUAAGCAUGCGUAAUAUUAUGAUUGUUUAGAAAUAAAGCAGUAAAAUACUCAUUUUAAUUAAUGUUUUUUUUGAGCAAUGUGUAAAAGAAAUCACAAUAGACAGUUUGAAGCCAACGAAACAAAUAAUUGAUUUUUAAUCGCCAAUUUUACCACUUCUUUUCAAAUUUACUUGUACUAGUGAAAGAUAAAUAAGUAUUCUAUAAAACUAGUGAAAAAGUACACACAAACUCACUUGAGAUAUAUUAAAAACGACAAUAUACUCAUAUUUAUUGUUCAAGACGAGAUUCUUUAUUUCGAAUAGAUUGAGUAAAAAUAAUUCACCUGAUAUUAAUGACGGUGGAAAUAAUAUUAAGAAAAAUAGCUGAAAAUUUGGUUUGAAACAAAAAACAUUCUGAGUACAGCCAACACAACCAAAUAAAAAAAAAAAACUCGCAAAGCACUUCAUACAAACUCUUAUUCCUUGUUCAGAUAAAAGCUAAGCAAUAUGCUAUUUAGAAAGGCAGGAAAACAGAGCAAGUCUAUCGCGCAAUUUAGAAUAUAAGAUACAUCAUCUCUAAGAAGAGCUUUAUGCCAUGAAUACAAACAACCCGAACAUCAAGCUGCCACCGCAAGUAUAGCAUAAAACAAGAGAUGCUACUGCUGGAACAGGAAAACGCCGAAAAAUGGCAAAGCAGCUAUAAGCGGCCAAUAUCUAAAUGAACAUGUUCAGUUCAGGCCUACUGUAGACAUUGCUUUCCUCAUCUUCCAGAAUAGGAUAAGAAGCUACAAGGGCAUCCUGAGCGCCGAUAUAGAGCGAGUUGUAAAUCUUCCAGUAAACCUCCCUGACCUUCCUGGCUGGAUGGAACAACCCUUGUAGACAAUAGUUAAGGACUACGGCUGCUCCCAGUGCAACCCUCAUUCCUUCAAUGGCUUCCAUGACUGCGUUGAUCACGUGUGGAGAAGUCUCGAAAAUGUUGGGCCACACAUAGUUCAAAAGGUGGACAAGUGCGUCUUCACAUCCAAGACCAGCAACUCCAAGAGCCAUGUGCUUCACAGCAGAGGCAGCAGUCUGCCUAUGUACAAGAUCUCUGUCCAUAAGAGCAUCUUCAAGUAAUGGAGUCACAGCAUAUAUAUAGUCCUUACCCAUUUCUCCAAUGUACUCGAAAAGGAAGGAGAGGGAUUUCAAGACACCAUUCUGGACAUUAAGCUCGGGCACACGAUAUUCGUUCAUCAAGGCAGGCAAGACUGUAAAGGGAGAACAGGUCUCUGCAACAAUAGCAAUUGCGACAGUGGUGCAGACACGGUUCUGACGUUCCUGCACCUUAAGAUUGUUUAACAAUGUUGCGAGCACAUCCUGAGGUCCAAUGGCUUUAGCAAUAUACCCAAAUGUGUUCACUGUUGCUCGGCGGAUACCUUUCUUGUGGGCUUUAAGCAUCUCAAGAAGCUCAAAACAAAUUCUCAUCCACUCCCUUGCAGGAACAAAUUCAGCACCACGAUCAGCAAUUCGACCAACAAGGUCAAUACAAUUCUCCUGGACUUUCUCAUGACGAUUCUUCAAAAUGGGGGUCAACCGAGGAAGCAGGUCCUUAAUUGGAGGAGUCAUUUUAGUCAUACCAAUAACAUUCACAAUAGCCUUCAGAGCCCCCAAUAUAGAUCCUAACACCUCUGGGUAUUCUUCUCCCAAGUACUCAUACAAGACAACACCAAGAUGACCCAUUAGUUGUUCUUCCCCACACUGCUUCAUAACAACCGCAAUUCUGGAUAUCAGAUCAGCAGCUUGCUGUCUCACCUUUGCACUCUUGUUGUUCAGUCGCCAUUUUAUUGUACCACAGAUCUGAGGAAGAUACGGCUUAACCCUUUGGCCAAGGGCAUUUACAACAGCACCAAACCCAUUAAGCAUCACAUUGGCAUCGUCACUGGUUUGCUCUUGGAAGGCAUAAAGGAUUCCAUCAAUUAACAGCUCUUCUAAUCGAGAAUCAAUAUCAGAUGCACCAAGAUUUGCAACCACCUUCUCAAUAGUCUCCAUGACCAUUCUCCUGUAUGGUUCACUCUCGUCUUUCAAGUCUUCAACAAUUCUCCCAACUAUAUCAGCAACACCAACUUUGUUUGCUAUCUCCACAGUGGUUUCAACAAGCUGCUUGUAGUUUCUGCGAUCCAAAGCCAUUCUUCUAACCCAGAAGUUCCUAAAGAACUCUGGAAGAAUGUCUUGUCGGAUGUAAUCCGGCUCCACACCUUCUGUACUCACACACUGCUUAACCACUUUCAGCACAAUUUUCUUCAUCUCCUCAUCAGGUGAUUGAAACUCACGGAUAAGGACAACCAUAACUUCUUUGGUAUAGUAGCUGGCAUAUACAGCAUCCAUAAGAGGAAUGAUGAAACCUAUAGCCUUUAAAAAGGCAGCCAAAACCUUGCCACGGUGUGAUCUAAUACCCUUCCAUAAGGGCUUCAAGACGGAAUCAAAACUCUCAAUACCGUACGGUGCAGCAGCUUCAGCAAGAGCAGCCAGAGAAAGAGCUGUAAUGGUCCUGACCUUCUGGUUCUCAUCAUUAAGACCAUGUUCAAUAAUUUCCACCAAAGAUCUCAAAUGUGGAAGAACGGCACAACCAAUAAGAAUAGCAAUCUGCUGAACAAUCUUAAUACCUGUAUGACGAGCCUGCCAAGACUUCUUACUCUGACAAACUGCUUUCAAGAACGGCAGUAGAGCAGGAAUACCAAGUGCAGAUGCAACAACACUAAAAGCUCGAGCAGUUGUGUUCCUGACAUAUUCAUCAAUGUUGUCAAUAUCUGGACGCAUGGCAGCAAUCAUAGUCGCCAAACCCGCUGCCUUACUAAGAUUAGAUAUGAUUUCCCUUCCUUCAACACGAGCAUAAUAAUCUUCGUCAAUCAACAGAGGUUCAAUCACAACAAGAAUCUUGUGCACAUAUGGGCGAACCAAUUCAUCCAAUUUAUAGAGUACCCUAUCAAUAACCUUAACCAGCAAGUGCCUUUCUUGGUCUUCCAGUGUAGGUUGCAUGAGCAAUGGCAGAAUUCGGUUGAAUAGGGGCCCAGCACCAAAUUCUCUGGCCUUAUCAGUGAGCUGUCUCAAAGCAGUUUUCCUCUGAGGGGGCGUGCCAUUUUUAACCUUGAGAAGAAGCUUCAUAAUCUUUCGCUCCUUCUGCUCGUCCGGAGACAACUCCUCUUCAUCUUCCUCGUUCAACAAAGAACCGAAAUACUGGUAAUCCUCCGGCUUCAUAAAUGGUAAACCACCUGGCAUUUCUUUUGGUACAUCAAACUGUUGACCCCGAUUUUCCUCAGGAAUAGAAUACAGCGGAGUCCCCAUAGGAGUUGGUGUGGCAAGAAGCUUCCUGGCAGGCGUUCUGAUGGGAACAUAGGAUGCUGGAGGAUCCAAAAUUUUAUAACCUUCCUGAGGAAACAUUGCAUCAAGCUCCUCAUCGGUUAAGGGUCGAUUUCUCUCUUCAAUGUCCUUCUCCCACCUCAUCAAAUUGUAUUGUUCUGGAGUAAGCGGACCACGCAAAUUAAUGGCACCAGGAGUUGGUGUAGCUAGUUCACCACCCCCAAGUGGCGUAACACCCGGUGUAUAAGCUGCUGUGGGGGUGGCACCUGGCAUGGGAGUUGCACUUCCCAUAGUAGCUGGAGUCUCAUCCCACCUUGACCUCUGUCGUUUAGGUGUCGGAGUAGCAAGCCCUGCCAACUUCGGUGUAGCAUCCCACGACAUACCAGCUGGUGUCGCACCUGGAGUAGCACCACCAGCAGGUGUAGCAUCUGAAUCAGCAACUCUCCCAGGCGUAGGCGUCUCAUCCCACCUAUUCUUCUUAACCGAAGGCGUUGCAUCCCCAACUCUCCCAGGUGUUGGGGUUGCAUCCCACCUCCCAAUCCCAGGGGUUGAAUCAGGCAUAUCCCAAUCCGACCCAGUUUUCGCCUUCUUAACACCACCCUCAUCCUGCGACUGAUCCCACCUAUUCCUCCUCUUCUGAACUGGCUUCUCAACAACCUCCUUCUCCUUAAUAUCCCUACCAUCCGCUGCCUUCUCCAUCUCUUCCUUCUUCUUCUUCGCAAUCUCCUUCAUCAACUCCUCCUUCUGUCUCUUCAACGCUUCCUCCCUCAUAACAUCUGCAUACGUCCUCACUUCUGGGCCUGGCGUCUUAUCCAAAAACGGAUCAUUCCUCUCCGGACUAAUCACCCGAUUCAACCUCCUCCUCCUAUAAUCAUCCUCCCUAUCAAUAAUCUUACUCGGCUUAUUAAACCCACUAACCUCCUCUUCCUCCCCUCCACCCCUCGGAACCUCCUUAAAAAACUGUUUCGGGGCAGUAAACGAUGCCAUCUUCCUCGCAACCUCAUUCUCCGUAUCGAAAUUAUCAUCGUCAUCGUUAACCGGUAUCGAUUUCUCAUAACCCUCAAAUUUAUUCGAACUAUAAAAAUCAGUAUCAAAAGUCACUGCAUUCAUGGAUGCGAGCUCUUGCUCCAUCUUCUUUCUGUCUUCUUGCGUUUUCUGAAUCUCAUCAUCCAUUUUGCUCAAUUGAACUUUUACUCAAAAAUUUCAAAAACCCUAACCCUAAUUGGAGAUUUAUACGACCAAAUUAAGCUGGAAAAAUGAACAAAUUAUACGAUUAAUAGCAAAUUAAUUCGAAUUUAAUGAAAAAUUAAUGGAUUUAGGGAUUUUGAUUUACCUGUAUUGUUCGUCGCCGGCGAUGCGAAGUGGAGGCGGUGGGGUUUUAGGAAUUUUGUGGAGAGCAAAAGUGCGAUAAGUGUACAAUGAAGGAUCCCUAUUGAAUAUGAAAGUUUCCAGGGUCGGCUCAGGAUAUGGGCUAUUGGACUAUCCGACCCGACCCGACCAAGGAAAAGUAGAAGCAAAUGGAUUUUUUUUUUGAUAUUUUUGUAGGUGUUUGUUUUAUUAAAUUAAUCUUAUUAAUUAUAUUUUGAAUAUAUAUAUUUUAUUUAGUCAUUUAAAUAAUAAAGAUAGUAUUGAAAGAACAUAAUAAUAUUCUCUUGAUUACGACGUAAUUCUUUUUUAUAAGAAAAAAGUGUUGGAAAAUUCUUUUUUUCUACAAUAAAUAAUAACUUCCACCAUGUAAAAUUUGUUUGUGGAGAUAUUCUUAUAAUAAUUUUUUUUUAUGAGUUCUAAAGAUGUCAUCUACAAUCACAAAAGGUUAGGUUUAAUUGUAUUGUUCUAAUAUUUCGAUUAUCGUAUUAUUUUAUUGUAGUUUCUGUUAUGUUCAAGUCUAUGUUGUAAUGAAUAUUUAGUCGGAAUUUGAAAAUUUUGCAUUAAGGUUAUGUUUGAUGAUAUUGUUGUAAUAUUCUCGAAUACAGUAGUUUCUGAUUUGUUAUUAUUUGUUGUUUUUUCAAGUGAUAGAUUAACGUGUGAUCGGACUUUGAGGAUUUUUCUUAAGGUUAGGAUUUAAUCUCACUGUUAUGAUAUUUCAAUUAUCGUAUUAUUUUAUUGAGUUUAUAGUGGUAGAUGAAUGUUCGGUCAGGCUUUGAGGAAUUUUUGUGUAAAGGUUAGAUUUAAUCAAUUUAUUUUCUCAAUUUUUUGUGUAAAGGUUAGAUUUAAUAAACUUAUUUUGUUGUGGUUCCUGAGCUAUUACUAUCUGUUGUUUUUGUUAUUAUCCGUGAUGUAAUAGUUCACAUCAUAGGAGACGAUCAAGAUAUUAAUACUUCACAUAUGGCUUGACAUAAAGCACACGUGCAAAGCGUGUACAUUUGACUAGUAUUUUUAAAAGGAGGUCAACUAUUUUGGAACGGAAGGAAUAUUAAUUAUAUGUAUAUUCUUAUAUAAGAUAUUUAAAUUUUUAAAAUAUAUUUUAUUUUUUUCAUUGCAGUACAAGAUCUCACUUUGUAGAAAUACAUUGGGUAUGUUGUUGUUUUUAUGUACUUUGUAUAAAUACAUUGGGUAUCUUAUUGUUACUAUUGCGCACAUUCAAUUAUUCAUAUCAUAUGGCCGAGAGCCCUCACAACUUACGUAGAACGAUUGAAUCGCAUGGAAUCGAAUAGGAGGAGUACAUGCUAAUGUGGCUUGAAUGAUCCACAUCUUAUGAUAAGACCAAGCGUCGUUGAACACAUUCAACUAUUCAUAUGGCUGAGAGAACGACGCAAUUAUCAAGGACGCGCUCUCUUAAAUUUUUUUGUACAAAAGAAAAAUUCAUUGGAAAUUUUUUUAUCAAGUCCUUUAGUAGUGUAACUAUAUUAAAACUAAACAUCACUUGAUACUGACCAAAAGUAAAGAACAUAACUCUUUUAAGCUUAAAAAACGGACAGCUCGGUGCACUAAAGCUAUCGCUAUGCGCGGUGUCCGGGAAAGGGCCCUACCACAAGGGUGUAUCGUACACAGUCUUAUCUUGCAUUUCUGCCAGAGGCUGUUUCCAAGGCUUGAACUCAACCAUAACUCUUUUAAGCUUGAGUUCAUGUAAUCUAAAGUGAAUAUUAGAAGCUGAUAGCUAUUAACUAUGAGUCAAUGAGAAGCAAAAAUUUAGUAAAAGUAUAUUACUCCAUUGAUGACUUCAUGUCCAUCUUAAUAUGCAUUUUACUUCAUUGGAGACUCCUUCUCAAUAGUCUUGAUGACCAUUAUCUUGUAUAGUACAUCACUCUCAUCUUUCAAGUCUUGAGCGAUUCGCGCAACUAUAUCAGCAACACCAACUUUGCGUGCCAUCGCCACAGUGGUUUCGACAAGUUGCUUGUAGUUUCUGUGGUCCAAAAACCUUCUUCUAAACGAAAAGUUACUGAAGAACUCGGGGAGGUAAUCUGGCUCCACGCCUUCUGUACUCAUGCACUGCUUCAAAACCUUCACAUCUACGUCAGGUGAUUGAAACUCACGAAUAAGAACCACCAUAACUUCUCUGGUGUAGUAGCUGGCGUCGACAGCAUUCAUGAGCGGAAUGAUAAAGCCUAUAGCCUUUAAGAAGGUAGCCAGAUCAUCGCCACGAUGUGAUCUGACACCCUUCCAUAAGGGCUUCAGAACAGAAUCAAAACUAUUAAUGUCAUUCGGUGCAGCAACUUGAGCAAGAACCGCGAGAGCAAGAGCUGUAGUUGUCCUGACCUUCUUGAUAUCAUCGUUGAGACCACGUCCAAUAGUUUCCACCAACGACCUCAAAUGUGGAACAACAGCACGACCAACAAAAAUCGUCAUCUGAUGAACAAUCAUACUACCUGUAUGACGAGCCUGCCAAGACUUCGCGCUGUCACAAACUUCUCUCAGGAACGGCAACAGACCAGCAACACCAAGCGCAGAUGCAACAAUGCAAAAACACUGAACAUCGAUGAUCCUGUCAGAUUCAUCAACGCUGUGCACAUUGCUAAGCAAAGCAUCAACCAUAACAGACAAACCAGCCGCCUUGCUAAGUUUAUAUAUGAUCUCCCUUCCUUCAACGCGAACAUCAUAAUGCUCAUCAAUCAGCAUGAACCGCGUCAACAAGAGAGUGUCGUGCACCAUCUUUUUCUUCUCCCCCUCCUGUGUCAUCGUAGUUAUAGAAGCCAACUCAUGCACCUUCUUGUCCCUCUCCAACGCGAACUGCUCCUCCAUCUCCCUCAUUAUGCUCAUCUUCGACAACUCCUCCUCCAUCUCCUUCCUCUCCGGAGUAAACUGCUGCUCCAUCCUCUUCCUCCUCAUGCUCAUCUCCGUCUUCUUCCUCCUCAUCCUCUGCUCCAUCUUCUGCCUAUCGACCUUAAACUACUGAACCAACCUCUAUGUAUAUAGAACAAAGUUAGGAGGAAAAAACUUAUACCCACUCGGUGUAUACACCAAGCCAAUACAUGCAUGCCAUGUGUUUGAAUUUAAAGUUCAUAACCAUAAUUAAUCAACUAAAAAAUAUUAAUUUGGUGUAUACAUCGGGUGCAUGUAAGUUUUUACCACAAAGUUACCUCUCUAUAUAAAGAGAAUCUAUUCUAAAUAGAAUGAGAUUCGAAUUACUCUUAUGGUAAUAAAUAAAUAAAUAAAUAAAUAUUAACCAAAUAAAUUAGAAAUCUUUUACAACUAGGAAAGCAAGUAAAAAUCUUUACGUAAACUACCUAACAAAAAUAAGAUAAUAAGAAGUGAAUAAUUCUUGGAACCAAAAUGGAUUAUGUGAUCUAUUAGGAAAAGGAAACAAUUUUGCUUUAUUUGAUUUAAUUUUGAUUUUAAAUAAAAAUAAUCAAACCAAAUUAACUAUAGUAAUAUAACAUCAGUUCAAAAGUAUAUCCGUUAGGCCGUGAAAAUAAUAAUUUUCUAGAGUUAGAGUUGAGUUAAAGUCGAUUUUGUGUUUGACCAUGAAUAAAAAUUAGAGUUAUUUUUAAAAUUUUGUGGGAAAAAAAAUAAGAGUGAAUUAAAAAAACAAGUAAAUCUCCACAAACAAUUUCAGUAAAUUGAAAUAAUUCGUAUGGAUAACCCCUACAAUUUUCACAAUAAUGAAAUAAUUUUUCAAAAAAGCAUAGUAACAUUUUGCUAGAAAAUAAUCGAUGAAAAUGCGUUUGUUAGCAAGUGUCACAUACUUAAAAGUUCCCGAAAAUUUAUGACAAAGUUGAACCAGUAAAAAAUUGACCUAGUUUAAUUUAAUUUCAAUAUUUUAAAAAUGACAAAAAUGAUUUAAUUUAAUUUUUUUUUCAAAAAAGGUUAACUCAAAUCAAAGCGUAAGCACCCCUAAAAUUCAAGAAAUUCGAAUGUUUUGAUUUCUUUUCCCCAUAGGACCUAUAGGACCAGCAUAAUAGCAGUCAAACCUCUCUAUAACUACAUUAUUUGUCGAAAUAAUUUUUAAUUGUUAUAGUGAAAUAUUAUUAUACAAUAAUACUAGGGGUGUACAAACCGAACCUUUAAGUCAAACCGAAUCGAUGAAUCAAAUCAAACCGAGGAAAAAAACCGACUUAUGAUUUGGUUUGAUUGGUUUGGUGUUCAAAGAAAAAAACCGAUCAUUCUUGGUUUAGUUUGAUAGUAGCAAAAAUAAAAUCAAACCGAACCUAAACCGAACCGACAUAAUACAUAUAUAAUUUUAAUUUUUUAUACGUAAAAAAAUAUUACUUAUAAUCUACUUUUAUAACUUUUUUAUAUUCAAAAUAUAUAUAUAUAUUCUUGGGUCUUUAGUUAUAAUAUUUAGGGAAAAGGACAUGAACUGNNNNNNNNNNNNNNNNNNNNNNNNNNNNNNNNNNNNNNNNNNNNNNNNNNNNNNNNNNNNNNNNNNNNNNNNNNNNNNNNNNNNNNNNNNNNNNNNNNNNNNNNNNNNNNNNNNNNNNNNNNNNNNNNNNNNNNNNNNNNNNNNNNNNNNNNNNNNNNNNNNNNNNNNNNNNNNNNNNNNNNNNNNNNNNNNNNNNNNNNNNNNNNNNNNNNNNNNNNNNNNNNNNNNNNNNNNNNNNNNNNNNNNNNNNNNNNNNNNNNNNNNNNNNNNNNNNNNNNNNNNNNNNNNNNNNNNNNNNNNNNNNNNNNNNNNNNNNNNNNNNNNNNNNNNNNNNNNNNNNNNNNNNNNNNNNNNNNNNNNNNNNNNNNNNNNNNNNNNNNNNNNNNNNNNNNNNNNNNNNNNNNNNNNNNNNNNNNNNNNNNNNNNNNNNNNNNNNNNNNNNNNNNNNNNNNNNNNNNNNNNNNNNNNNNNNNNNNNNNNNNNNNNNNNNNNNNNNNNNNNNNNNNNNNNNNNNNNNNNNNNNNNNNNNNNNNNNNNNNNNNNNNNNNNNNNNNNNNNNNNNNNNNNNNNNNNNNNNNNNNNNNNNNNNNNNNNNNNNNNNNNNNNNNNNNNNNNNNNNNNNNNNNNNNNNNNNNNNNNNNNNNNNNNNNNNNNNNNNNNNNNNNNNNNNNNNNNNNNNNNNNNNNNNNNNNNNNNNNNNNNNNNNNNNNNNNNNNNNNNNNNNNNNNNNNNNNNNNNNNNNNNNNNNNNNNNNNNNNNNNNNNNNNNNNNNNNNNNNNNNNNNNNNNNNNNNNNNNNNNNNNNNNNNNNNNNNNNNNNNNNNNNNNNNNNNNNNNNNNNNNNNNNNNNNNNNNNNNNNNNNNNNNNNNNNNNNNNNNNNNNNNNNNNNNNNNNNNNNNNNNNNNNNNNNNNNNNNNNNNNNNNNNNNNNNNNNNNNNNNNNNNNNNNNNNNNNNNNNNNNNNNNNNNNNNNNNNNNNNNNNNNNNNNNNNNNNNNNNNNNNNNNNNNNNNNNNNNNNNNNNNNNNNNNNNNNNNNNNNNNNNNNNNNNNNNNNNNNNNNNNNNNNNNNNNNNNNNNNNNNNNNNNNNNNNNNNNNNNNNNNNNNNNNNNNNNNNNNNNNNNNNNNNNNNNNNNNNNNNNNNNNNNNNNNNNNNNNNNNNNNNNNNNNNNNNNNNNNNNNNNNNNNNNNNNNNNNNNNNNNNNNNNNNNNNNNNNNNNNNNNNNNNNNNNNNNNNNNNNNNNNNNNNNNNNNNNNNNNNNNNNNNNNNNNNNNNNNNNNNNNNNUAGUAACAUAUUAAUACAAAACCCAAUAUUAAUAUAAAAAUCUAUAACUCUUCAUUGCUUCAUUUUAAAUUUUACUUUCCAAGUUUUCAGAGAGUUCUCAUUAUUUCCUCAUCUUACUUUUCUCAUUCUCCUCAUUCGUCAAGUUUUAAUUUAGGUUUAUUUCUCUUCUCUCUUUUUUCUUAUGAAAUUAUGUUAUAGUUAAUUAUUUUAUGGAGUUAAAUUUUUAAUAAGUUGUCUCCAAUUCUUCAUUCUUCUUUAUGCUCACAUUUUAUGUGAAAGAAACUUUCAGACAAGCUAUUGUGACUAGUGACUUACAAAUUGAACCACUGAAUAUCCACAUAAUAUUACUUUGAGAGAUAGUAGUUUAAACGUCUUAGUAAUUUGCCAACUUAAUUUUAAUUGGAACUACUCUAUGACCAUUGUUUUUUUUUUUUUUAAUCUUUUUAGUAAAAAUAUUUAAUUUUUUCUUCAAUCACAUUAUAAUUGUAAAAAAACCGAGAAAAAAAAUCGAAAAAACAAAAAAAUCGAAAAAAAUCGAUUAAAACCGAAAUAUAAAAAUCGAUUGUAUAUUGGUUUAAUUUGGUUUAUAGAUUUAGAAAACUGACAUUAUUGAUUUGAUUAUAUUUUAAUGAAAAACCGAACCAACCCGACCUAUGGACACCCCUAUACAAUACAUAAAAGUCGAUUACAAGAAAAGUUUGACCGUAAUAGUGACAUUUUAUAGAGAUGACUGUUAUAGCGAGAUCUGAAUGUGCACUAACACUAUUUGCUUAUUGUACUCCCUGUUAUACACAUUCCGAUGUAUUAUAGGCAAAUAAAAACACCAAACCGCUGAACUAGUGAAAUAGUUUGACAAUAAAAUGAGAAGCAUCUAGUACCCGUUGAACUAUGACCAAAUUUGUUACGAUGCACUUCCUGAACUAAAUUUUAGCGUAUUUUUGAACCUUUUUAGCUGACGUGGCACAUAGCAGUCCUUCGCACGUCUAAGAUGUUUAACUUCACGCAAGGUGCCACAUCAGCACAAAAGGGCGAUAAAACCACGCUAAAAUUGAGUUCGGGGGGUAAUACAACCCUCCUGAAGUUGGAGUGUGUCGUAGCAACUUUCUUCAUAUUUCGGGGGCACUGGAUGCUUAUCUAUAGUAAAAAUAGCUAAAUUGCAGAAACAGUACAGCCAGUAUAAGCCUGAAAAAAAUGCAUUGCACCAUAAAUUUAAUAUGUUCACAAGACUUGUCUCUACACAACUACCACUGGUAUCCAUGGCAGAGUUUUCUUUUUUCUACUUAAAUUAAGUAUAAAGCUCUAUUGUGUUACGCGAAAAACACAAGAUAUACAUAAUACAUACUUUCAUAACGAAUGCAGGACAAAUUCGCGGUCCUUGUAUAGCUAGAACUUUUGAAGUAGAUUGAAGAAUUGCAGGAGGAAAGCAACGUCUGGCUUCUCUUGUCGCCAAUGAUGAACAAUAGAAGAAUUGGAUGAUACUUUAUCGUCAUGGAUAAUCUACAAGUACUUUACGAAGAGGAAGAUGACGACAGCUAGAAUAACGAUGAAUAUGACCAAAAGGCACAACCAAGUACAGCCGCCUUUUGUGCGCUUAUUCAAAAAUGCCAAUCUCCGUUGCACCCUCUGUUUAAAAGGAUAAUGCGAAUCACAUUAGCUUAGGCGCGACAAAAUCAGAGAAUUCACUUUUUAAUAUGGCAUGUUGGAUUCAAAAUUUCAAAAGAUGCACACAAUUAAGACCAUACAAUUAGUCAACGCAUAAUACAUAAACAUAAACUUGACAUUAGUUAGCAAGUAAACACUUCAACUUUGAGUAUGCACAUCUAGACACCUCAACUCGUCUCUAUUGUAUCAGUUGAAUACUCCAACACUCCAACGUACAAAAUGACUAUAAAGACAACUCUAAAAUUUAUGUGUCACUUCAGCAUGGGGUGUCCUAGAGAUGCAGCAAGGAUGAGUUGGAGUGUUUUGUUAUCAGUUGGGAUCAAGUUGAGGUGUUUAGACGCGCACUUCAAAGUGGGAGUGAUGAGGCCAAGUUUCAGUGUUUGUUUAUGUAUUAUGCCAUUAAGCUUUCUCCUCUGCUCCAAUUUUAUCACCUACGGCUUUGAAUGCUAAUGCACCCAUUAGCAUUUUGAUUAUCGUACAAAAUCUUGUUCUAUUCUCUACUUAUUAAUAUGGUAACAUUGGGUUUUAGUAGUUAUACUGCAUAGUAAUAAACUAUUUUACUUUAGCAAAAGCAAAAUCACGUUUGUUUUGUUUUUGUAUAUAUAAAAAUGAAAUAACCCAUGUAACACACACACACACACCAACAAAACCAAAAUAAAGUCAAUUUGAAGCAUAACGAAACAAGCAGUACCAGAAGCCGGGAGUUUGUUGUAUCAACGUGGUAAUCCAAGUUAUCCUGCAUAACAUAUAAAAACAUUAUGCUGUUAAAAUAUAGUAACCGAGUUGGAUGACAAGAUAUAAAUUCAAGGGUCGGACAAAAAUCAUAAAAUGUUAAAAGUACUAAAACUUUUCGCAGUGAUAUCACCCACCAGUAGUGCAGUAUGUAGGUUCAGCUCCUCGUUGAUUGCUAAUGCAACAUGUUUUGUGCUUGUCACUGUCUCCUCCAAUUUAUCAAGAUCCUCGUCCUGCUCUGUUUUACGUAUAAAUGAAAAGACAACCACGUCAAUAAGUUUUUCAAAAGGAACAAGAAAAGAGCACGUUGAUUCCUAGUGUAUGAGGAGAUGCCUUUCAUAACUUGUCGUUGAAAACCUACAAGACCCUGGUUGUCAAGACCAGUUGCCCUACUGAUAACAUCAGGUCGCUUAGUUUCUGGUCCAAGCAAGCUGUCCCUAUUUGCUAGGUGAUUCAUGUUGAGUGUAGUUGCCAUCUGAUUAGCUUUCGUAACCAGAUUAUCGAGCAUGUCAUGACGACGUUUCAUCUCCUUUUUGGUUCUGUUUACAAGUAAGGAAUCAUUAAUACAACAACAACAUGCCAGUAAAAUGCCGAAACUAAUAAAAUUUGACAGAUGGUAACAGAUAAUGAAAGCAAGAAACUACAUGAAUAUGACUGACUAAUACUACAGCAGACAUGGUGCUCCAGACUACCACCGAACCUAAUCCCAUCUAAAAGAAAGAUAACACUCUACUACCUAUUAACCUUCUAACCUAAUCCGCGAUAUCCAAACCCUCCUAUCUAAAGGGGCAAUUUUCAUUAUCUGCUUGUGAAAUAACUGAAAAUUUCUUGGCAUAAAAGGUGUAGAGAUUGAUCUCAAAAGACAUUUUAAUGUAUCACAGCUUACAACAGUUGUUAGACAACACACAGAAAAGAACUUGCCUUAUGUGGUAACACGCUUAUAGACAUUGAUUACAUCCACAUCAUAUAAAUUGGUUUGUUUCCAUAGAAUUAAACUAAUCAUCUUCACAAGAAAACUUAAAAUUUUCCACACAACCACUUAUGAAAAAAGAUUCCAUGAUUAAUGGAUUCACGAAAAUUUUUGAGAAUUCAAGAGAAGGUCAUGGGGAGAAAAGCCGUUUACUCCACUUCCAUUUCGAAUCAGAAUAUUUUAACGCCACCAGCUAAUGGACUAAACUGUAAGUUUUUUUUUCCCGGAACAACUAGUAGUGUACUUAACUCCAGAAAAUGAACUUUUACCAUAGGCAGCCCGUGCACUAAAGCUCCCGCUACACGUGGGGUCCGGGAAAGGGCCAAACCACAAGGUUUUAUUAUACGCUACCGCAGCUUUACCCUGCAUUUCGGCAAGAGGCUGUCUCCACAGCUUGAACGUGUGACCUCCUGGUCACAUGGCAGCAACUUUACCGUAUUAUUUGUAAGCUGACCAGCAUUUAUUCAGCCCUCUCCCUUAACUCGCGUCAAACAUCAUUGGAGCCACACUCUCCUCAGUCCUCAGUCCACAACUCCAGCAAUACAGCUCUUCCUAACCUCUCUGCCCCCCUGUAAUCCUCUCAAUCAUUAUGCCCCACUCCACCAACUAGAUCCUAUGCAAAACAAACCCAGUACUAAUUAACUCACUUUUGAAUAGUGAUUUUGAUUUUAUGUUCAAGUUGCAAAUUGUGUCUUGUAACAACAGUGGGUUUAGAUUAAAAAAUUUAUCAACAUUCAGUUUUACCCAUUACCACAGCGGGUUAUAAGCAUAACUUAAAAUCUGAGCAGCUAUCUUACAUCUGAAACUGGAAGGCCUGCAGGAAUCUAACUCCAAAACUAAGGGAAUAAAUGGAGAAAUAGAUCAUGAUUAAGGAUAUAUUCAUGAAGUAAAUUUUCGAGUCAAUGAUAAUGCAGCUCUGUGCACAAGCUAUGGAACAGCAAAUGUCAAAGUAAAUAUUUGAAGCAGCAUGAAAUCCUUCAUUUGCCAGUUUUCUGUUUAAUCAUGAGUACUUUCGAAAGAUAUCAUUUUAAAUUGAAAUACAACUUUGCAUACUAUCAUCAAACACCAUAUAGAAGUCUUUAUGCAGUUUUCUUACAAAGGCUGCUUGCUUGGGAGCGUUGGCAGAAGGGACUGGAGAGUAUCAAGCCUAGUCUUUAGUAUAGUGAUCUUUCUCCGAGCUGCAGAUAAAUGACGCUGCGUUUCAGGUCCGGAAGAGAGCAAAGAGCUCUUUGCAGAAAUCAUAGAACCGACUUCAUCCGCAAGUUUGGAUGCUUCAUUAAAUUCUCGCAUCCAUGAGUCAGCAGACGAUGCCAUUCUGACCUGAGAAGUCAAAAUUGCAUCUUAGGCAAAAUAUACGAAACUAAAAAUUAAACAUGGCCAAACUGACCGUAUACAAGGAAAAUACCAAAUGGUAACAAAUCUAUAAAAUACAAUUCUCUACAAACUCCUCUCCGAUGAGCUAGAACACGGGUAGCGGCUAUAAUCCGAUUGCAUAACUAGUUAAUACGACUAGUUAGUACGUUCGAAUAAUAAAAAGUUCUCUUGCUAAUCCUAUUUAGAUUCUGUCAGGUGAAUACAAUCAAAUACAAUCAAACAGAAGCCAAUUCUGAUGCAAAAAUUCAAAUUCAAAAAUGAAAUAGAAAAGAUACAAAAUCAAAAAAUAAAUAUCAUUAAAGGUGGGUCGUAAACCUUAUUAGAUACCAUUGACUCUGGUAUCUACUAAGUUUUACCUACUAUUGGAUUUGAACCAAUGACUCCCGCCGUAUGAAAGCAGUACUCUAACCACUGCUAGGGACUUUUGAUUACACCAAAAGUAAAUAAGGGAACACAGGCUAUUCCUCAACUGAGAGAAACUCAACUCUACUCCUUCAAAGCUCUGUUGUUAUCCUCUCUCUACACUACCUACGUUAAAGCAAGUGGAACCAUGUUCGAAGCUCUCCGUCUUUUCAUCUUUCUCCCGCUCCAUCAGAAAAAUAUUUAUUUCACAGUUUUAGGCAUUGUCAAUGGAGUGCCAAGCCACUUCAUAACAAGCAUACCUAACAAGCUCACUUUUGAUCUUAUCCAAAUUAUCCAUAUUAUGAUUUUGAUAUAAUUCGUAACGACCCAAGUCGAAAACAAGCGUGGUAUGUGGGAGGCUAUUUUGUUAUUAAGGAAUAGAAAAAGACACAAAGGAGAAAGGUUUUUUUUGUGGAAUAAUAAAGGUGAGCUCCAUAUAAUAUUCUCUUUUGGUGUAACAUCAACUACAAACACGCCUCAGUCCCAAACAAGUUUCAGUUCUUAUGGUUAAGAUAUUGGUGAAAAAUUCCUUUCAGAAGAUGCGCAUCGUUUUAUUAGGACAUUUUGGAAGACUUACAGACUAGAAUGUUAAGCAUAUGCUAAAGCUUCCAAACUUGGUGUUAAAGGGAAAAAAUUCUCACCUUUCACCAAAAUGUUGUCAACCAGGCCAAAUUCAAUGUCCAAGUAUGAUUUCGAUAUAACUUGUAACGAACUGAGUCAAAAACAAGCAUUGUAUGUGGGUGGCUAUUUUGUUAUUUAGGAAUAGAAAAAAAAAACACAUGAGAAAGGUUGAUCUCUGGAAUAAUAAAGGUGGGUUCCAUGUAUAUUUUCUGUUGGUGUAACAUCAAUAACAUACACGCCUCAGUCCCAAACAAGUUGCAGUUCUUAUGGUUAAGAUAUUGAUGAAAAAUUCCUUUCAGAAGAUGCACAUCGUUUUAGAAGGACAUUUGGGAAGACUUACAGACUAGAAUGUUAGGCAUAUGUUAAAGCUUCCAAACUUAGUAUUAAAACAACAACAACAACAACAAACCCAGUAUAUUCCCACAAAGUGGGGUCGGGGGAGGGUAGAGUGUACGUAGUCCAUACCACUACCUCUAAAGAGGUAGAGAAGCUCCAAACUUAGUAUUCAAGGGAAAAAAUGCUGACCUUUCACCAAACUGUUGUAAACCAGGCUUGCUGUUAGAGCUUUAAACUAACUCGCUGAAUGAACCCAAUAUUGCUCGAGAACUCUCAUUUACAGCACAUGCCUAACAUAAAGUAAAUAGAGUUAAAUACUCAAAAGUCAUAAGUGAAAAACCCAGAUUAAAAAUCUAAGGCGUAUAUUCUGGAUAUAUAAAUGCAGCAAUGAUCGUGUUAUUGCUUGGUUUAAAGAAGCAUAUUAACUCUCGACUCCUGUGCACUGAACAUUCUUUGGUACACAUGAGGUUGUUUGCUUAAAAUUAGAAACCCUAUAUCAUACAGUAUCUGCAUCUAAUAGCAAUUUCAGAUAGAUGCUUUCUUUGAAGCCAAAAUCAAUUGACCACUCUGGUAUCUUUCUUAAACGAUAAACUAUUAGCAAUAGAACGAAUCAGGUCGAACAACAGCAGAAAGAUAUUGAGAAUUCAUAUAUCCAAACCAGAUUAGUUUUGAGAUUCAGGCAUAGCUGCUUUGUCAUAUUCCACUCAUAAGUGAUAUAAGCCUAAGAUCAGCUCUUGUAUAAUUAAGAGGAAAAUUACCAUAAAAGGCAUGAUAAAGGGCAGCCUGGUCCAGGGAAGGGCCAGACCACAUGGGUCUAUUGUAUCCAGCCUUAACCUGCAUUUCUACAAGAGGUUGUUUAAACGGCCCCAUAAAAUACAUGAUAUUUAAGAAAAAUUAUAAGAAACUCUUAAAUUAUUACUUUGUUUAAUGUUUCAAAUGUACUAUAAACUCUUUCUACAAGUACUGGAGAAGCUACAAUUGAACUGAGUAAAAGGACGAAAACCCAUCCAUGAUUCAUCAUGAAAACUGAGUAGUUUAGACUAAGACAUGAAAGUUGUCACAUCAUAAGAAACUCUUUGUUUACCACUCCGUUAGAUGGUAUCAAAUGUACUAUAAACUCUUCCUGCAAAUGCCAGGAGAAUCUAACACUGAACUGAAUCAACUAAUUACACAAUUCAUCCUACCCCAAACAAUACCACAUAGUAAUAUUAACUCUACUGAGAAUCCCUUUAGGCAUCAUCACUUAUAAUACUACCGAAUUAGCAAAACCAAUUAAGACAAAAGCUAAAGUUCUGAAAUUCUUAAUCUUUUUGCCAAUACUCUUCCGGGGGUAUCAACUUUUAGCACCAUUACAAUAAUUAAGACAAAAGCUAGAGGUGCCAAAAUUCUUAAUCUUUUUGCCAAAUACUUAGUGGGGUUUAUCACAAACCAAUAGAAACAGGGAAGGGACGUAAAUCCAUCGAUGAUUCAUCAUGAAAACAGAGUAAUUUAGCAACUAAUUACCCCAAUUCAAUCUACCUCCAAACUAUACCAAAUCAUUAACACCAUUGGCUCUACUAAGAAUCAACUUUUAGCAUCAUCACAAUUAGUAAUGUCAAAUUAGCAAAACCCAAUUAACACCAUUUGCAGAAAGAAAGUAUUAUGACGAAACUUUUGCUCUUGUGGCAAGGUUAGGAGCUAUCCGCAUUUUAUUAGCUUUUGCUUCUUUUAAAAGAUUUAAACUCUUUUGAGUGGAUGUUAAAAGUGCCUUCUCAAAUGGUUUCAUAAAGGAAAAAGUUCUUGUUAAACAACUUCCAAGUUUUGAAGUGUCUUCCUUUCCUUGAUUCUGUUUUAAAAACUCUCUAAAGCUCUAGACAGUCUAAAACAAGCUCCAAAAGCUUGGUUACGAAUGUUUGAGCUCCUUUCUCUUAAACAACAAUUUUCAAAGAGGAAAGAAAUUGACACUAAGCUUAUCAUUCAAAGAUCUUUCUCAAACAUUUUGAUGUUUCAAGUCUAUGUUGAUGAUAUAAUUUUUGGAAGCUCUGACCCUUUAUUAUGCGAGAAAUUUGAUGAUCUUAUGAAAGGGGAAAUGAAAUGAGCAUUGAUGGGAGAACUCACCUACCUCCUAGGACUGCACAUUAAGCAGUCAACUGAUGGAACUUUCAUCAGUCAAACCCAAGUAUAUAAAAGAACUUAUAAAGAAGUUUGGAAUGAAAAAAGGAAAAGCUUUUGGGACUCCAAUGUGUCCAUCAACUUUCUUGUGAGUGAAAAAAUUUAUCGUGGAAUGAUUGGAUCUCUGCUGUAUCUUACUGUCAAUCAACAAGACAUCAUUGUUCAGCAUAUGCAAAUGUGCUAGAUUCCAGUCAGCUCUCAAGGAAUCAAAUCUUACUGCAGCUAAAUGAAUUAUUCGUUACUUGAACAGAACUCAAGAUCUUGGCCUCUGGUAUCAGAUGUUGAUUUGCAAUUGAUGAAACAAAUAGCAAAAGCACUAUUGGUACGUGUCAAAUUCUUGGCGAAUCUCUCAUUUCAUAGCCAGCAAGAAACAAACAUUAGUGGCUCUUUCCAUCAUUAAGGCAGAAUAUUUAGCCCUGGAAAAUUGUGGGAGUCAACUACUAUAGAUGAUGCAUCAACUAAUCGAUUAUGGUCUAUCUUAUGAUUUUGUGCUCAUAAAAAAAGGCAGUCCGAUACACUAAAGCUCCUGCUAUCUUAUGAUUUUGUCCUCAUACUAUGUGAUAAAUACCAGUCCUAUUAGAACACAUCUGCAGUAUCUAGUGUUUUGUGGAGCCACAGAGGAAAAAAUGUUGUUACUAAGAGUCAUCUUCAACAUUUUUGAAGCAGUACCUGGAUUGCACAUUAAUUGGAGUAGAAGGUUCAUUUACCCAGUUAAUAGAGUCUCCAAUAUUGAGGAUUUGGCAGAGAAGCUAGGGGGAUAGUGGGUGAACUCCCCACAAUAUAUCUAAGGAAAAUUGGAGUGGUGUAAUAAAGAAAUGCGAAAGGUAGUUGACAAAUUGGAAAAGUCUAUCUUUCAUCGGAGGUAGACUUACUCUGAUCCAUAGUGUAUUAGAUUCUCUCCUUUCCUAUUUGAUGUCAGUGUCCCCUAUCACAAUAAGUGUGACUAAAGUAGAUGUUAUCCGGAGGAAUUUUCUAUGGCGAGGUGGUGAAGAUGAGCAGAAAUAUCAUUUAGUAAAAUGGGAGGAACUCCUGGCAAGCAAGAGAGGAGGUAGUCUCAACAUCAGAGUUCUGAGUAUACAGAACAAGUGCUUGAUGAUGAAGUGAUAAUGGAAGUUUGCAUCCCCAGAAGAAGCUCUAUGGGAAGAGGUGAUUAGAACAAAAUAUGGUCUUCAAGACAAAUGGAUGACAGAAAAGGACAUCAGUCCAUACAAUGGCAGUAUAUGAAGAUCCAUUAGGAACCUAUGGGAAAUAGUUUCUAGCAGGACAAGGUGCAAGGCUGGAGAUGGUGAGAGGUGGCUUACUGGAAUGAUAAAUGGUGUGGGCACGAGACUCUGAACCAGACCUUUCCUGAGCUUUACAGUCUAUGGCAACGUCAAGAUGCCACUGUGGCAGACUUAUGGACAAAACAAGGAUGGAACCUAUAUUUCAGAAGGAAACUGAAUGAUAGAGAAAUGACCAGUAAGCUGCAUUCAAGGAGACAGUUCCUCAAACCUUUAUCCUAAGGGAAGAGAGGGACAGCUUGGUGUGGAAGGUGGAUAAUAAAGGGAUCUUCAUUGUCAGGUCAGCCUACAAGGAGCUGACAGCAACAGGUUCACAUGAGAGAGGGUGGCCAUGGAAAAUGAUUUGGAAGAUCAAAGUGCCUUAUAAAGUUAACUAUUUUACUUAGCUACGGGCAAAGGAAGCAGUUCUCACUCAUGAGAAUCUGAACCCCAAAAAAAAUUCAAUUUAUGCUCCAGAUGCUAUCUAUGUGAAGAACAAGUUGAGGCUGUCAACCAUCUCUUUUUGCACUGCACAUGGACAGAUCAGUCGUGACAAAUGUUCAUCCAUAAGAGGAAGAUAAAAUGGGUAAACAUGGAAGAAUUGAAGUGCUAAGAAGUUGGAAUAGAGAUGACAAUGCGGUAAAGAAAGAGAAGAGAUGGAAGCUGGUCCCAGCAUGCAUUUGAUGGACUGUAUGGAAAGAGAGGAAUCGGAGAUGUUUUGAAGGCAAGCAGAUCAAUAUGCAGAAGAUUAAGCCAGACUGUUUAGGCUUUUAUUAUUUUUGGUGUAAACAAGUAGUUAUAGAUAGCACAGAAGAAGCUUUUAAUGCUAUUGACUAGCGGCUAUAUUUAGAAAUCUUAGGAUUUUGUAAAGCAACAACUUUUGCAAAGCGAGACUACACUUUGAUGUAGUAUACCUGUGGAUACAUAGAAGUAAAGUUUACCAUUGUAAAAAUAAAAAUAAAAAUGCACUAUGCACCAUUCCAAAGCUGAGCAUAUAGACAUCAAACAUCAUUUUAUUCGAGAUUAUGUUGAAACUGGCGAUUUCAUUUGGAAUUUCUCAAUUCAAAAAAUCAAUUGGCUGACGUUUUUAGAAAACCUCGCCUAGAGGAACGUUUUUGCUACCUUAUAGAUAGCCUUGGUGCUACCUAUUUUAAAAAUUAAAUUGCUUUAAAUGCUUAAGUUAUUUUUUCCUUAUAUGCCUAUAAAAGUUAUAAUUCUUGUUUUGCUCCAUGUUCUCUUUAUUUAUUUUCCCUACUUAUUAUUUUUAUUUUGCUAUCAUGUUGCACGACUGUUGGUCUACGGUCUUUUGUCUUGAGCCGGGGGCCUAUCGGAAACAGCCUCUCUACUCCUUCGGGAUAGUGGUAUGGACUGCGUACAUUUUACCCUCCCCGACCCCACUAUGUGGGAAUAUACUGGGUUUGUUGUUGUUGUUGUAUUAUUUUUAUUUUGCUCCGUGUUCCUUUUAUUUAUUUUCCAUAUUUGUUUCGCCUUCCUAGAUAGGAAGAUGUGGAGGAAGAAAAUUAAGGUAGAUGGGUAGUAGGUAGGAGUACGUCUCUGCUAGUAGGUAGUUGUGUUUUGUCUUGAUAUACAUUCUAGCUAUCAUAGUGCUUUGCUUGUAGUGUCUUCGUCUUGGAGUUUUGGUGAUGUCUAUUGUUUCAGGCUAAGUUGUGCGGAUUCUUCACUUUCGAUGUUGCACCGUGUCGGAUUCUCCAAAUAUACACUAUUAUUGGAGAAUCCGGCACGCACUCGUGGACAUUCUUGACGAAUCCGAGCAACAUAGGUUUCAGGAGGUCGAGUUUGGCUAAGUUGCUCGACUCUCCAAAAAUGUUGCCGCACCUGUGUCGGAUCCUUCAAAAAUACACUAUUUUUGGAGGAUCCGACAUGCGCCUUUAGACGUUUUGGAAGAGUCCAAGCAACUUAGGAGUUCGGUACUACUUUGUGGUAGGCUUAUUUUUUGGUCAUUAUCUGUUGUUUAUUUCUAUCUAUUAUUUCUUCUUCUUAUAUUAUGUCCUUCUCUAGAGUAUUUUUGUCUCGAGCCAGGGGUGAUUCGGAAACAGCCUCUCUACCUCACCUCUGAGGUAGUGGUACGGACUGCGUACAUUGUACCCCUCCCAGACCCCACUUUUUUGGAAUAUUCUGGGUAUGUUGUUGUUGUUGUUAUUUGUUUCACCUUCCAUGUUUGUCCUAUUCUUUAAUUUCUCACUCUUUCCCAUACACCUUUUCAGCAUCAAUCCUUUCUCAUCCAGCAAACCUUUGGACCAUCUUUCACCGACUUUAUAAACCCUCUUCCUCUUCACUUCCAAUUCAUCUAUCCUUUCACUAUUCUCCUCUCUUCCUUCUCUUCAAAACCCUCUCAAAUGGCAAUAAACAAAAUCUCCUUCGUCCCCAUCAGACGCACAAGCAAGCGUUUUCAAAGCUCUGGAGAAACAGAUGACAUUGUGGAUCUUAUCUCAGAUUCUUCAAAUGAUGAAGUUGCUGAAUCAUCCAAGACCUGCUAUAAGAAGAAAAUUGUCCCUCAAGGUCAUGCUAACAAAAAAUUCAAGUCGGAGAAGUCCGAUGAUUUCAGUCUUCAAGACAUGCAACUCUUUUGGGGAGUCUCAGAAAAGAAACGGUACUUUGCUUUCAAGUUCAGGCCCAUUGCAAAUGGAAGGGUCAUAAACCUGGAACAGAUUGAGGACUCUCACUGCCCUGUAAGUACUAUCUUCAACGCCCAGAAAUUAUCUCCAUUUUUUCAACUCUGUGACAAUAAAGUGUUUGAGGAACCAGUUCGAAUGUUCUAUGCAAACCUUAGGGUUUCAAAAGAUAGUGGUGAAAUCGAAACUCUAGUGCUGGGAAAUCGUAUUGUGCUCAGUCUUUACUUGUUUGAAAAAGUUUUUGGUACCAAGUUCUCUGGAAGGGUCCCCUAUAUGAAUGGUGGUUGGCCUGAGGAUUUUGAGGUGUCUCUCGAUGAAGCAAAGGUGUUUAUCUCUGAACCGGGCUCAAAUUUGGCAGACUUUGGGCCCUCUACUCUCUGUUUUGAAAACAGAAUCCUAGCCCACAUUAUUGCCACCACUCUCUUUCCUCGUAAAGGUUCGUUUAGUUCUCUUACUAACAGGGAUGUUUUUGUUCUGUACUGCCUGCUGAAGAAGAUAAGAAUAAAUUGGGCUGAAUGGUUUUUGGCUUACAUGGUUGAGAGUGCGGAUGACUCCAGCUCUGCAGCAAACCUUCCUUAUGGUAUCUUGAUCUCUAGAAUCCUGCGUUCCCUAUUCCUGGACCUCUCUGGCUUUCCUCCCAAGGAGAUCAGUGCAACAUAUGACAGUCGAACUUUUACCAACUUGGGUUACCUUCUUGUUGAUGGUAAGUGGUCUAAAAAGUCAGUUUCAAAGACCAAGCCAACCCCAACUGGUGAAGACAAAAGCACAGAUGUUCCCACUUCAAGUUGGAAAAAGGAAAUAGCUGAGAUCAAGGACUCCCUAGUCACUAUGUCUGCUGGGAUGCAGAACAUCCAAGAAUCUCUGACCGUGCUGAUUAAUCUCUCUAAAGGUGCCAGGACCAGCACGGACGUAAGCAAGGUACAGUUGGCUGCUGAUCACCUGCAGCGUGAAGAAGUCAAGUCUGUGAACCAAAUCCCCAGGAACGCUGACUCUGCUACGAAGGUGAUUGAUACUUCCAACAUGGAGCUACUGUUGCUUUCCUCCAAGAACACUGAAAAAUCCUAUCACUCAAUCUCUCAAAGGGUGAUCAAUACCUUUAAGUACUUUCUUGGUGGUCGUUAGACACCUGAACUCUUUUUUUUUUGUGCCCCUGCCAGGCUUCAAUCUCUUGGUCUGUAUAAACUCUAUGGUGUUCUAACCAAGACCCUAACUCCUUCCUCCCGCAACUGCUUAUCCUUUUUUAUUCUGAAGACGGAGAAUAUCUAUGCAUGUUGCUUGUUCUUUAUCAUGUUUUGAUCAUGUCUUGGUUUUGCAUCUCUCUCUCGGUGGUAUUGUUGAUUGAUGCAAAUAUUUAAUUGUUGAAUAUAAAUUAUGUCCAUGUCCUAUGUGCCGUAUUUUUCUUAUCAUCACUUGCAGAAAUGUCACACACUGGGAAACUCAAUUCCCUUGAGAGCCAAAGAAUGAGGGGGAGCUUAACAGUCAUCUCCAGCCAUACAUUCAGGGGGAGUAAACAUCCCAAAUACUCAGGGAUGUACAUGAAUAAAUAACACCCCAUAUGAUUGUCAUCAUCAAAAAGGGGGAGAUUGUUAUCCUUGUAGAUUUCGAUGAUGACAACUAACCAUUGCAAUAUAUUCUGCUGCGCAGAUCAGAACGGAAAGAAGAACCUAUCACAAGGAAAGCAAAUCUCAUUGCAAUGAAAGUGCCAAGAUCCAAUGUUAAGAUGUCAAUUCACCAGGAAGGAGCUGUUUUAUUGGCAAGGCAAAGACGGUAUUCAAGGACCUCAGAAUCUGUCAAAGACACAAAUAUGGAAAAAAUAACAACCAAUCCAGGAAACUGUAGAUCGCAGCAUUUAAGCAUCAAGGAAGGGAUUACAUCCUCAAUCAAGCCAAAGCUAACUUGGAAAGACAGCAAAUGAAGUCAAGAAAUUUAUAGAAGUCGCAGCAGCAACAAGCCAACGGUGCUCAACAUUGACAGCAGAUAUUCCGUUCAAGAUCUCUUUCUCACAAGGAAAUCUGUCAAAUUGAAUGUCAAUCAUGCCUCAAUCAAGAUCCAUUCAAAUCAUUCUUGAUUGAGCACAUCCCUUGGGGUUACCUUAGAGCAAUCAGUAAGAGAUCAAGGGAAGAUCACUUCUCCAUCACAAGAGGCAUAUAUAAAGAAGACGAAGACUGAAGAAGCAAUUGUACAACUCCACUUGAGCAUUCCUAAUCCCUUCUAUAUCAUACUAAAGCACUGUAAUCUGUAAUAGCUUACUAGUGAGUACAAAAGAAAGAAGAGAAUAGGCAGCAGAGCAAAAGGUAGAACUGAAUUCAGAUCAGUUCAAGGGAGUUCUCAGUACCUUACUUUAACAAUUCUAUGUACUAAUGUUACUCAACAAAGCUCCAAGGAAACCUUGUAACCCAAGAGAACUGUAUUAAGCACCACAUCAAUGAUCCGAACUAGUAUAAAACUCUGUCUAUAUUUAUCUUUCUGCAUUUACUCUAUUUCUAUUUCUGUUUGUUCUACUCUAUUAACCUUCUGCAGAAGCAUAGUUGACUACAAAUCACCAAUGAUUCAUCAUAAAAACUGAGCAACCUACCAACUGAUUCCUCAAUUCAAUCUAUCUCCAAUCGCUCUACUAAGAAUCAACUUUUAGCACUAAAAAAAAGGGAAGCCCGGUGCACUAAAGCUCCCGCUAUGUGCAGCACCAUUAUAAUUGAUACUGCCAAAUUAGCAAAACCCAAUUAAGACAAAAGCUAAAAGUUCCAAAAAAAAAUUAAUAUUUUCCCAAAUACUCUUCCUGGGGUUUAUCAAGACCCAAUAUUAACACCAAAAAGACGAAAACCCAUUGAUGAUUCAUCGUAAAAACUGAGCAAUCUCACUACUGUUCCUCAAUUCAAUCUACCCCCAAUGGCUCCACUAAGAAUCAACUUUUAGCACUAAAAAACACCCAAUGCACUAAAGCUCCUGCAGUGCGUAGAGCCAUUACAGUUAAUACUACCAAAUUAGAAAAAAAAAAACAAUUAAGACAAGCUAAAAGUUCCAGAAAUUCUAAUCUUUUUGCCAAUACUCUUCAUGGGGUUUAUCAAGAACCAAUAUUAACACCAAAAGUACGAAAACCCAUCAAUAAUUCAUCAUUUAUACCAGUGAUAUCAAAGACACACUUAAGCCCUGAAGUGAGGCUCAAAACGUGUUGAGCACUUCCCGUCGCUUCAUGUGAGAUUCACUGUCAUCAUCAAGUUUUAAGACAUACUUUUCCUUGCCAAUGAGUCUCUUCUGAAGAGGCUGCUAAACAAUUGGAUAUUUCACUUCUUUUUUUUUUUUUGAAAAGGUAACAAUUUACUGAAAACCCUUACAAGAAAGUAGUGAAUAAUAAAAACAUAAUACCAGUCCUACAAUGAAUCUAAAACUUCUAGGAUUACUUCUGCAUCUACAAUGGGACUCUUCGUACACCAAAAACAAAGUAACAGAAUACAAUUUGUUUUAAUCUUCUGUAAGGUCAACAAUCUUACUAGGCAUUGUCCAUUGGAUGCCUCUGAGAUUGAUGAAAAUCUUCCAUAAUUGAUCGGUGAUUCUGCAAUGAAGGAACAAAUGGCUCACUGUGUCUCAGCUGCUUCCCCACAAAGGCAGCAAUGCGUCACUAAAAUAAUGUCCCUUUUCCUCAAGUUCUCAUACGUCAAAACAGCCUCUUUUGCUAAGAGACAAGUGAAACAUGCCACCUUGAGUGGUAUCUUGGCUUUCCAGAUCUGCAAACAAGGCCAGUUGAGGCUCUGUGACAUAUCCAAGUUCAUGAUCUUGUACCCUUAGCUCACUUUAUCGUAAUUGUUUUUCAAUUUCUUUGUUCAUAUAUUUGACAUUCAUGCUUAUAAUUUAUUAGUCUUGGACUAAACAUAAAUAUUUAUAUUUUUUCUCCCUUUGCGCCUUUUUUCAUUGAAGCCCACGCUUUAAUAUGCGCUUUGCGCUUUAAGCCCCGGCAGACCUUAGCUUUUUUGCGCUUUUCACUUUUGAUAACACUGAUUAAAACUAACUUAUUCAGACUCAAAUCAAAAGGGGUCUUAGGGAAUUGUAGAAACAACAACAACAUACCCAAUGUAUUCCCACAAAGUGGAGUCUGGGGACGAUAGGUGUACGCAAACCUUACUUCUACCUCAAAGGUGAGAUAGAGAGGAUGUUUCUGAUAGACCCUCAUCUUUUAGCACCACUACAAUUAAUACUACCAAAUUAGCUAAAACACAAUUAAGACAAAAGCUAAAGGUUCCAAAAGUUCUAAUCUUUUCACCAACACUUUCUUUUUUUUAUAACCAUGGUGUUCGGGCCAGUUUGUCCGUACCUCGACUAAUUCCACGGGAUACCUGCCACCUCCCACCGGCAAUACGUACCAGAUAACUCUGUCCAUCAAGGCUAGAACAAAUAGGAAGAAAUCACCUAAUGUUUGCCUUGGUUGGAAAUUGAACGACUGCAAUUAAUACUACCAAAUUAGCUAAAAACCAAUUAAGACAAAAGCUAAAGGUUCCAAAAGCUCUAAUCUUUUCACCAAUACUUUCUUUUUAUGAUUACCGUGGUGUCCGAGCCAGUUAACGCGCACCUCGACUAAUUCCACGGGAUAUCCGCCACCUCCCACCAGCAAUAGAUACCAGGUAACUUUGUCCACCAAGAGUAAAAUAAAUGGGAAGAAAUCACCUAAGAUUUGUCUCAUCUCAGUUGAAAAUUAAACCUAAGACCUCAUGGUGAUCAACCCAACUUCAUUGAACCACUAGUUCACACCCUUGGGUGCAUCUUUUCACCAACACUCUUCCUAGAGUUUAUCAAAAACCAAUAGAAACAUAAAAAGAACAAAAACCCAUCAAUGAUUCAUCAUAAAAACUGAGUAACUUAGCAACUAGUUCCCCAAACCAUCAACCUUUAGCACCAUUACAAUUCAUACUGCCAAAUUAGCAAAACAAAAGCUAAAAGUUCCAAUCUUUUCACCAAUACUCUACAUGGGGUUUAUCAAGAACCAAUAUUAACACCAAAAGAACAAAAACCCAUCAAGAAUUCAUCAUAAAAACUAAAAUAAUUUACAUACAAAUCAAAAGGGGUCUUACAAAAGUAAAUCAACAAACAAGAAAACCAAAAGGGUGUUGAAAAUUUACCUUCAAAUAUGAAUUGAAUAUCAACAAUAUUGAUGACAAUUUUGGAUCAAGAAUCCAUAAUGGCCUUUUCUCCUUUAUGUUUUUAACAAAAUUGUUAUUGGGGAAAAGGUCAAAAAGGUAGGAAGCUGAGUGGAUUGUUUGUUUUCUAAUAUUCUAAUAAAUUAAUAACUAUGAUUUUAUAGUUAUGAUAUUCCCAUAAUGUGGGCCGUUGGAUCUUGUGCAAGUUCUAUAAUUGAGAAAAAAAUAAAUGGAACUACAAUGAUGAACAAUUAAGGUGUUCAAGACAGCUAACAAAAUAUGUGAUCCAACUAUUAAAAUUAAUUUAUUUAUAUCAAUAAUUGAAAGUUAAGGUUGAUUAUGUCACUGUUGUUUUAAACGUAUUCAUUUGUGCCAUUAUAUUUUAAUAAAAAUAUAUAUCUGAUUUUAUAAAAUUAUUUAUGUUAUAUAUUCCUUGUUAGAGUUCACGUCACCAUAAUUAAUAUUAAUUAAAUUUGAUAUAAGUUAAAAAUAGAAUAACAUUAUUAGUUAUGAUAAUUAUGCUCCUAUUUUAGUAAUCCUAAAUGUAGAAAAUCAUCUCGAAAAGUAACUAACAGUAAUUGAUAAUUUGAAAUGCUAACAAUCCUAUUAGAUUAGUUGAUUAUUAAAUUAGUUGAUUAAAAUUAAUUGAUAAACAUCAAGUGUUAGGCAUUGAAAAUUAAUAAUAAAAAAUUAUAAUAUUUUAAUAAUUUUAAAUGCUAAUAGUUCUAUUAGAUUAGUUGAUUAAAAGUAAUUGAUAAACACCAAAUAUUAGGCAUUAAAAUUUGAUAAUAGAAAAUUAUAAUAUUUUGAUAGUUUGAAAUGCUAAGAGUUCUAUCAGAUUAGUUGAUUAAAAGUAUUUGAUAAACAUCAAAUGUUAGGCAUUGAAAAUUGAUAAUAAAAAAUUAUAAUAUUUGUUAAAACUUCUAAAAUUUAAAAGUAUUUUUUAUAUUAAAAAUAAAUAAUGAAUUAUAUUUUUUGAUAAUUAAAAGUCACAUUUGAGGAAGAAUAGUUUAAAGAUACAAAAAUCAUUAGAGGUAAUAAAUUUUUUUUUUGUUUCUCAUUCAGUGUUCGAUACCAGUAUUGGAGUCAGACUAAUCUAGACUAAACCAAACUAAAUCACCAAGAAUCAAACCACCGGUUAUUUUUUUGUGUUAGUUUGAUUUUUGAAAUUUAAAAACCGACUACGUUGGUUUGUUUGUAAUUUUGAUCAAUAACUGACUCAAACCGACCCGUGAACACCCCUAGCAAUUCAUACCACUAAGUAGAGAAUUUGUUUCCGAUAAAACCCCGAAUCAUGACAGUUAACAAUACAACAAAUAAAAAAAUAUGAAAGCACACAACAGAACUAUGACACACUGCUAGAUAAUAAAGAAAACAAGACACCCACAAUGUAAUACUAUAAAAUCAUAUACGUCACUAAAAUACUACGAACAAGAAGCUCCAGUCGCAAAUAAAAUCAAGCACACAUCCCCACUAUCACAAUCGAGUUUCUAUCCACUAACCCUCAAACUUAAUUCAAAUCCUCCAUAUUCCUAUCAAGGAUUGUGUAUUCCGUAAACUGUAACAUAAUCUAUCCAUUUACCAAAUAUAUGUAAUAAUACAUGCUUUAUCCAUUUUAUUUACUUGACUCAUAUAAUAAAAAGUAGAAACUUAAAUUUACUUAUUCAUUUUUAUAAAUUAAAGAGAAUUUUAUUAUUCUUUUCUAUACUUCAUUGUUAUUAAAUACCUACAGAAAAAUAAAAUAAUAAUAACAUAAUUUAAUAUUUUAAAAUUUAAUUAAUAAAAUUAAUUUAAUAAACUACACAUAUAAUUGAAGUUUUUUGCGAUGUGCAAGUCAUUUUUUUUAGAGAUAAAUAAAAAAUUGAGGGGUCAAGAUUUAUUGGGAUAAUAAUAAUUUAUUUUCAUAUAUGUACCUUUUCUUCUUCUUGUUCCCCCAAACCCUUGGCUCCCUUAAUUCUUCUGAAGCUCUUCCAUUUAUUCAUUGGUAAGCAUUCUUGUUUUGGGUAUUUUUUUUCCUAUUUGCUUUAUCCAUUUUUAUUUUGUAAAUUUUAUUACAAGUUUAUUUGCUUCUGGUUGUUAGUGUUUCAUUUUUUUCUAGGAAUUUUAGAAGUUGGUUGGACAUGAAUGGAGUGUUAUUUGAUAAAGAAACUAGUAUGUGAAGUUUGGAAGUUGAAACAUGGUGUUUUUGUUUUGUGUGUAUCUGAAUCUUUAAGAAGUCUAGCAUUUUAGAAGGUGUUUGGACAUGAAUGGUGUGUUAGUUGAUAAAGAAACUAGUAUGUGAAGUUUGGAAGUUGAAGAAAAGUUCAAAUUUUGGGAGUUUUAUUUGAUGUUUGAAGUUGAAAUAUGGUGUUUUUAUGUUGUGGGUAUGUGACUGUUUAAGAAGUCCAGAUUUGGUGCAAUUGAUAAAGUCGUUUUCAUGUGACCAAGAAAUGCAGCUACAAUAGACCAGACCCUUGUGGCCCGGCUCUUACCCGCCCCCCACUCAUAGUGGAGCUUAGUGCACGGGGCUGUGACCAAGAAAUGCAGCUACAGUAGACCCUUGUGGUCCGGUCUUAAUGGGAACCCACUGGUAGAGGGAGCUUAGUGCACGGGGCUGCCCUUUUUCUGAAUCUUUGAGACCUUAAGAAUGCCUAAUCAGCUGUUUUACUAUUGUCUUUCUUAAACUUAGAUUUUAGGGAAAGGAAGUAAUAAUGUAGCUGGAUUUUUCUGUACAAGUUCUUCCGGGAUUUACAAUUGCAGGACAUGUUGUUCCUUUAGUUUCUCAUAUUAUGCUUUCUGUUCUAUUGUUUUGAUUUUCUGAAAAUUGUUGAAAUGCCUUCUAAGACGGAGCUAGUAUUUUAAGCUUAUGAGUUCGGGAUCCUAGUUUCUUUUUAAGCUACUGGGUUAUAAAUUAAUAAAUUGUACAUUAGGAUACAAAAACCACUAGGUGAUUUCUUUCUAUCUAUCCUAGCCUUGGUGGACAGAGUUACUUGCUAUCUGUUGGUGGGAGGUGGCCCGUGGAAUUAGUUGAGGUGCUUGCAAGCUGGCCAAGACACCACCACGGUUAUCAAAAAAAAAGUUGUACACUAGGAUUUCCCUAAGACAAGUACAGAAUUUGGACCAAAGCUACUACACUCUAGCUCUGCCCGUGCUUCUGAAGCCUAUGUUGCUUGGACUCUUCAAUAAUGUCGAUGGGUGUGGGUCAGACCUUCCAAAAAUAGUGUAUUUUUGAAGGAUCCGACUCAUGUGCGGCAACAUAUUUGGAGAGUCCAAGCAACUUAGUCUGAAGCACAGUGUAUCAUAGGUCUUGAUGAAAGAAAGAGAGACCAGAGAUGGAACCACAUGUUUUCCAUUCCGAAUAAAUCUUUUACUUUUCUUCUCAUUUUGAAUAGGUAUAUAUUAGCUUACAUUUCUUGUAAAUUGUAAUAUGAAUUAUUUUGCUAAAGAUCUGUUUUUUAUAUCUUUGUUAGUGAUAACUUUGGAAAUCCACUUUCAGAAGUUGUUUUUCAGUGCUUAACUUGAUCUCACUGACUGAAGUUCAAAGAGUAGAUAUUUAGGAAAUGGAUGGGAAGUGAAAUUAGCUAAUAUAAUAAAGAAUUAUCUCCGCUUUUCCAUACGGUUGUCAAACCAGCAAAGACACAUAAGAACAGAAAUCUGGUCAAGAUUUGUCAUAAAAAACUCGUUGUCAAUUAUGUGUUUGCUCUCUGAUUUGGUAGGUCGAUUAGAGGCUACUGUUUCGUGCAUGGGUAUUUACACAAGUAGAGUAACAAAUCUAUUGUUUAAGUAGUAAUCUUGAGUUUUCUUCAUGCAGGAUUCGAGCUGAAAUAUAUUGAGCGCAAUACUCCUUCCAAUACCAGAGAAUUUGAGACUCAGGCAAAUUGUUGGUACUACAGUUUUUUAACUCAAUCUAUUGCUUACAAAAGGAAAUAAAAUCCAUUACCAUUUGGAAGCGUUUUAUUGAUGAUUGGGAACUAGAAGAGGAUAGAGGUAUGGAUGGUGUUUACUAUUUUUCUCUGAUAAAUAUUCUAAACCAUAAUAGUUGAAGGACACAAACAAUUAAUACUAGUUUUCAAAUCGCACAGAUAAGGCUAAAAUCAGAAAGGUUCUUGAAAUUCUCAAUUGCUGGUUUUCCAUUCAAUUGAAUUCAAUAUAAUCUGAAAAUUCAUUUCUGCAGCACCCUCUCAAAGUGAGGUUUAAAGCUGGAUCCAGCCCUCUCUCAAAACCGAAGGUUUAUGCAUGGAAGAGUAGGCCUCUAUAAUCGUACACUCUAAUGAUCCAAGUAAUCAAUUGGAACAUGUCAGACUCCCAUAAGAAAUAGGUACGAACUACAUGCAUGUUCUGACUUGCUACAAAGUGCUGUGCACACUGAUACCGAGGUGUUAUAUUAUAUGUUUGAGACAUCAGAAUAAUCAUUUGUUGUUUUGCUUUUUCCUUUUUCAUAGGUGAUCUACAAUUUCCUCAUAUAUAAGGUACAUUAUAUACUUAUAUGAGACAAUAUUGGCAGUCGGAAGUGCACGAUAAUCGUUAUGAUUUCACAAUGUUCUUCUGUUCUAGCCUUUUAGGUGUUGCGAGUUGCAUUGGAUGUUUUCAAAAGUGUCCUUUAAUUAUAAGUUUUUGAGAAUAACUCUAUAGUUCAUGUAAAUUUGUUGCAUUGCUUUGUUGCUUGGGAAAUUAUUAGGAGUAUGCUUAGUAUUCUGGUGAAUGUGUGUGUUAUGUCUAUAAUUUCUCAUAGAAGGAGAGCCUUGGCAUAACUGGCAAAGUUGCUGCCGCGUGACUAGGAGGUCAGAAGUUCAAUCCGUGGAAACAGCCUCUUGCACAAAUGCAGGGUAAGGCUGUGGACGAUAGACCCUUGUGGUCCAGCUAUUUUUCAGACCUGUGCAUAGCGGGAGCUUAAUGCACCGGACUGCCCUCUAUGCCCAUUUUUUCUCGUUGUUUACAUUUGGAUUGGCUUAUGCUGAAAGAUUAAACUGUGAAUUUGCUACAUGUCAAAUCUUGGUUCUUAUGAUUAUACCAAGCAACAACCAAUGGAAGACAAGUGAAAUGACUAGGUGUUGAGCUUUGUCUAGAUAACAAGUUUCAUCAUUCCAUCCAUUGAGUAAUAAUGAGCCUUCUGAUUAGCAAAUCAUACAUGACUUUUUGAGUAGAGUCGUCCUUUCAGAAGCACCUUGGGUGAUUUCCAGGAACUUGUAAAAAAUGAUUUUGGUAUAUAAGUUAACUUUAUUUAAUUGUCAUUCUGGGUUAGAUAGAAAAUUAGUUGUUGUUCAAGAGGAUUAUAUGAAGUUGAAGACCUUGAAGACAUUCUAUCGGGAUAAACUACAACAACAACAACAUACCCAGUAUAUUCCCACAUAGUGGGGUUUGGGGAGGGUAAAAUGUACGCAAUCCAUACCACUACCCCGACGGGGGUAGAGAGGCUGUUUCCGAUAGACCCCCGGCUCAGGACCAAGGAUUGUAGACCAACAGGCAAGCAAAAUGAUAAAAUAACAUAGCACCAACAUCCACAAAAAUAAAAUAUAAUUAACCAAAAGGCAAGCAUUAUGUUAAAGUAACAAAGAAUCAACAUUCACAAACAAGAAGUAUAGUUAACCCACCAAGGACCCUCCGUCCCUCAAACCUAGAGCUACCAACCAAGCUACCCUUAACCCUCCUAUCUACAGACUAUGACUCAACCCCACUCCUUAGCCCUCUAGCUUAAUACUCUUCUUCCAAACCUUUCUAUCGAGGGUCAUAUCCUCAAUAAGCUGUAACUGUUCCAUGUCACGUCUAAUCACUCCUCUACAGUACAACUUAGGUCUACCCCUACCCCGCUUGAAACCCUCCAAGGCCAACCUCUCACACAACUGGGCAUCCGUGCCCCUUCUCAUGACAUAGCCAAACCAUCUCAACCUUACUUCCCACAACUUAUCCUCUACCGAGACCACUCCCACCUUCUCCCGAAUAGUCUCAUUCCUGACCCUGUCAGCCUUCGUAAAUCCACACAUCCAACGCAACAUUCUCAUUUCCGCCACCUUCAACCUUUGGACGUGAGAACUCUUAACCGGCCAGCACUCAGCCUCAUAUAACAUGGCCGGCCGGACCGUAGCUCUAUAAAAUUUACCUUUAAGCUUAAGAAGCACCUUCUUAUCGCUCAAAAUUCCUGAGGCAAGCCUUCAUUUCAUCCAACCUGCCCCAAUACGGUGGGAGACAUCCUCAUCAACCUCACCAUUCCCCUGUAUCAUAGACCCAAGAUACCUAAAACUAUCUCUCUUACAAAUAGCCUGUGACUCUAACUUCACCACUACCUCGUCUACUUGUCUCGCAUCACUAAACUUGCACUCCAAGUACUCUAUUUUGGUCCUACUCAACCUGAAUCCUUUAGAUUCCAAGGUCUGUCUCCAAACCUCCAACUUAUUAUUAACACCUCGGCGCGACUCAUCAAUCAAAACUACAUCAUCUGCAAAAAACAUACACCAGGGAACCUUCCCUUGUAUAUCACGCGUUAACACAUCCAUCACCAAGGCGAAUAAAAACGGACUAAGAGUCGAACCCUGGUGCGGCCCUGUUAAGACCGAAAAAUGCUUGGAGUCCCCUCCCACCGUCCUUACCAGGGUCUUCACCCCCUCAUACAUGUCCUUAAUCGACCGAAUGUACGCCACAGGAUCCCUCUCGCCUCCAAGCAUCUCUACAGAACCUCCCUAGGGACCUUGUCAUAAGUCUUUUCCAAGUCGAUAAACACCAUGUGCAGAUCUCUCUUCCUCUCUCUAUACUGUUCUACCAGCCUCCUCACUAGGUGAAUUGCCUCAGUCGUUGUGCGACCAAGCAUAAAUCCAAAUUGAUUCUCCGAAAUAGGCACUAUCUUUCUCAACCUCCGUUCCACCACCCUCUCCCAAAUCUUCAUCGUGUGACUCAACAACUUAAUACAAUGGUAGUUGUUGCAACUCUGAACGUCACCUUUGUUCUUAUAUAAAGGAAUCAUCGUGCUCCAUCUGUCGGGAUAAACUACCAUGUGAAAUGUAAAUUUCAAGAAUUGUGGUGCUCUUGGAGAGAAUAAAUGAGCCUUAGACAGGGAGGAGGAAGGUUUUAGUGAGAGCAUACUUUUGACGAAUCAAAUUUAUCUAUGAAGGGUAUUGAAAGACAUAAUUCCAGAUAAAACUUAUCAAUUCUUCGCUGCAUUACCAGGAAAACAUAAAAAGUAAAAGAAGGAAAACAUCGGACCUUAUGAAAGUGAAGUAUGAUAUUGAGCAGUUGAUUCUUAUAACCUUGCCCAAAUUUAUGAUCUGUCUGAAGAAACAUGAGAAGGACACACUAACUCGUUUCGGACUGGAAAGGCCUAAUUGAAAGAAAAAAAAGGAGGAGGGAAAAGAGGUUGAUGUAAUAACUGCGUAAAAAUCUUUGGAACUCUUAUCCCUUUUCACUACUUCUAUCCAAACAUAACAAACCAAACGAUAGAGUGG